rnacentral:lncRNA from 1 species
UGUUUUUUUUUCUUUUGUGUGGUGACAAUGGUUCGUUCAAGUCACCAAUCAUCAUCCAUGGCUAUUUCUCUUUUGGGCUUAUUCACACUAGCGACGAUCCCAUGUGGUGCCUCUCCCGAGCAUGGGGUUCUCAAUAGACAAAAUUGUCUCGCUGCCUCUGGCCAUGCGGAAACAAAAUCCUCUAGUCGCAUGUGGUUGUGCCCCCUUCUUGCUUCAACAUUCUUAUCUCACAUUAUUGGUUGUCAUAGGUCAUAGUUUGACCCCUAUAUGCCAAAUCAUGCAGGUGAUAACAUAUUUCUAAAUUGUUUCAUAUGCCUUUUCACUAUGCGAGCCUGUUUUUUUUCUUUUGAGUGGCGACAAUGGUUCGUUCAAGUCACCAAUAAUCAUCCAUGGCUCCUACACUUUUGGGAUUAUUCACACUAACGACAACCCCAUGUGGUGCCUCUCCGGAGCAUGGGGUUCUCCAUAGCCAAAAAUGCCCCGCCGCCUCAGGCCAUGGGGAAACAAAACACUCCAGUCAUUUGUGGUUGUGCCCCUUCUUGUCUUAACAUUCCUACCUACAUUAUUUGUUGUCAUAGGUCUUAGGUUGACCCAUAUAUGCCAAAUCAUGCAGGUAGUAAUAUAUUCCUUGAUUCUUUCGUAUGCCUUUUUGAUGUGCAAACCCGAGUAUUUUUCUUUUGCAUGGCGACAGUGGUUCAUUCAAGUCACCAGUCAUCAUUCGUGAUGCCUCUCCCAAGCAUGGGGUUCUCCAUAGACAAAAAUGCACGCUGUCUCAAGACAUAGGGAAUCAAAACGCUCUAGUCACGUGUGGCUCCACCCUCUUCUUGCUUUAACAUUCCUAUCCCACAUUAUUGGUUGUCAUGGGUUUUGGGUUGAUCCAUUUAUGCGAAAUCAUGCAAGUAAUAACAUAUCUCUAAAUUGUUUCAUAUGCCUUUUCGAUAUGAGAGCCCGAGUUUUUUUCUUUUGCGUGGCGACAAUGGUUCGUUCAAGUCACCUAUCAUCAUCCAUCACUGCUAUAAAAAUAAGCUACAGUCACCCACUCUUUUGUCUUACAUAACCUUUUUUGCAGGUAGUGUUAUAUGAUAUUUCUAGUUUCUUUUUCACAUGAAGCAACAUAAGGCUUAGAGUUAGUUUGAUAAGGGGCUCAUGGUCCGCUUAACUAUAUGAAGUGAACAUAAUAAAAAUGAGAGAAGUGAGCCCACAUGAAACUUUGAAUGCAUUACUCCCUCAGUACGGGUUUAAAGGGUCAGUCGACCACUUGUCCUAGUCCUGAAUUGCUUCAAGUGUCUGUCUCAUUUUUCCUAUUGCCUUGUUUCCGGCGUGCAUAGUUUAUAAGCCGUUGUGUGCAAGUGCCCCAUGAUGUGCCUUAUGAGGUCUGCAUGCAAUAUAGUGCAUUAGUAUUUUAUUUAAAUAUUCCACCUUCGAUUAAUUGUAUCGUAUCGUAUCUAAAAUAACUCUCAUUUAACAUGGUUUAUGAGAGGAAAUGUUAAUAGUUUUCUUGUUUUGAAGCAAAGAGCUAUACCUAGAUUAAAAUAUUGUAACUCUAUCAUUUUCCCCUCCCUCCCUCCUGUAUCGCUCUCGCGGGUGACACGAGAGAAAACUUUAGCCGACUGCCGCUGGCUUACCAGACACCUCACCCCCCUUCUCUGAUGCCGUUGGAGGGUGUCGUCGGGCAAUCCUCGCACGGCUUUAGUGGCGGUAGGGCAUGUUAUCUCUUCAUCUCGCAUUGGAUGGGGCAGUGUGGGACGCUAGAUCUGGUAGAGGCUCGCUCGGCAGCGGGGUGCGCCCGCCAGCGUCGGUCGCGAGCUCGAGGUGGCUAAGGCGGGCGGGCGGGGAGGAGUUGUACCGGCAGAGAUCCAAGUGGAGGCAGCGGCUCGAUGGGGCUUUCCUUCUGUCCGAAUCUGGCCUCAACAAGAGCGGUGGCUUGGCUUGUCGUGGCCGCGGUUGUUGGUUUGGAGGUGUUCGUCCUUCCGAGAAGAUGGUGGAUGCCGUUGGGGUGGACAUGCGACUCUGGAGGAGGAUGGCGGGGGUUGGUGGUGCCCCUCCCGCCAGCGAGUCUCGGCGCAUAAUGGAUGCGGAGUGGGCCCACAGGAAACUGCCAAUGCAUUAUUCCCUUUGUAUGGAUUUAAAGAGUCGAUCGACCACUUAUUCCCUUUGUCCGGAUUGGUUUUCAUAGGUCUUAGGUUGACCCCUAUAUUCCAAAUCAUGCAGGUAAUGAUAUAUUUCCAGAUUGUCUCAUAUGCCUUCUCGAUGUGUGAGGCCAUGUUUUUUUCCCUUUUCAUGGAGACAAUGGUUCGUUCAAGUCACCAAUCAUCAUCCAUGGCUCUUUCUCUUUUGGGCUUAUUCACACUAGCGACGAUCCCAUGUGGUGCCUCUCCCGAGCAUGGGGUUCUCAAUAGACAAAAAUGCCACGCUGCCUCUGGCCAUGCGGAAACAAAACUCUCCGGUCGCAUGUGGUUGUGUCCCCUUCUUGCUUCAACAUUCUUAUCUAACAUUAUUGGUUGUCAUAGGUCUUAUUUUAACCCCUAUAUGCCAAAUCAUGCAUGUGAUAACAUAUUUCUAAAUUGUUUCAUAUGCCUUUUCGAUAUGCGAGCCCAUUUUUUUAUUUUGAGUGGCGACAAUGGUUCAUUCAAGUCACCAAUAAUCAUCCAUGGCUCUUUCGCUUUUGGGAUUAUUCACACUAACAACAACCCCAUGUGGUGCCUCUCCGGAGCAUGGGGUUCUCCAUAGCCAAAAAUGCCCCGCCACCUCAGGCCAUGGGGAAACAAAAUGCUCCAGUCACGUGUGGUUGCGCCCCUUAUUUUUUUAACAUUCCUGCCUACAUUAUUGGUUGUUAUAGGUCUUAGGUUGACCCCUAUAUGCCAAAUCAUGCAGGUAGUAAUAUAUUCCUUGAUUCUUUCGUAUGCCUUUUUGAUUUGCAACCCCGAGUUUUUUUUCUUUUGCGUGGCGACAGUGGUUCAUUCAAGUCACCAGUCAUCAUCAGUGAUGCCUCUCCCGAGCAUGGGGUUCUCCAUAGACAAAAAUGCACGCUGCCUCAGGACAUAGGGAAUCAAAACGCUCCAGUCACGUGUGGCUCCACCCUCUUCUUGCUUUAACAUUCCUAUCCCACAUUAUUGGUUGUCAUGGGUUUUGGGUUGAUCCAUUUAUGUGAAAUCAUGCAAGUAAUAACAUAUCUCUAAAUUGUUUCAUAUGCCUUUUCGAUAUGAGAGCCCAAGUUUUUUCUUUUGUGUGGCGACAAUGGUUCGUUCAAGUCACCUAUCAUCAUCCAUCACUGCUGUAAAAAUAAGCUACAGUCACCCACUCUUUUGUCUUAUAUGACCUUUUUGGCAGGUAGUCUUAUAUGAUAUUUCUAGUUUCUUUUUCACAUCAAGCAACAUAAGGCUUAGAGUUAGUUUGAUAAGGGGCUCAUGGUCUGCUUAACUAUAUGAAGUGAUCAUAAUAAAAAUGAGAGAAGUGAGCCCACAUGAAACAUUGAAUGCAUUACUCCCUCAGUACGGGUUUAAAGGGUCAGUCGACCACUUGUCCCAGUCCUGAAUUGCUUCAAGUGUCUGUCUCAUUUUUCCUGUUGCCUUGUUUCUGGCGUGCACAGUUUAUAAGCCGUUGCGUGCAAGUGCCCCGUGAUGUGCCGUAUGAGGUCUGCAUGCAAUACAGUGCAUUAAUAUUUUACUUAAAUAUUCGGACUUCGAUUAAUUGUAUCGUAUCGUAUGUAAAAUAGCUCUCAUUUAACGUGUUAUGUUAAAAGAAAUAUUAAGAGUUUUCUUGUUUUGAAGCUAAGAGCUAUACCUAGAUUAAAAUAUUGUAACUCUAUCAUUUUCCCCUCCCUCCCUCCUGUAUCGCUCUCGCGGGCGACCCGGGAGAAAACGUUAGCCGACUGCCGCUGGCUUUCCCAACACAUUGUCCCCCUUCUCUGCCGCCGCUGGAGGGCGUCGUCGGGCAAAGCUCGCACGGCUUUGGUGGCGGUAGGGUCUGUUCUCUCUUCAUCUCGCAUUGUAUGGGGCAGUGUGGGACGCUAGAUCUGGUAGAGGCUCGCACGGCAGCGGGGUGCGCCCGCCGACGUCGGUCGUGAGCUCGGGGUGGCUAAGGUGGGCGGGCGGGGGGGGGGGAGAUGCACCGGCAGAGAUCCAAGAGGAGGCAGCGGCUCAAUAAGGCUUUCCUUUUGUCCAAAUCUGGCCUCGGCAAUGGCGGUGGCUUGGCUUGCCGUGGCCACGGCUGUUGGUUUGGAGGUGGUCGUCGUUCCCAGAAGACAGUGGAUGCCGGUGUGGGGUGGACAUGCGACUCUGGAGGAGGAUGGCGGGUGUUGGUGGUGCCCCUCCCACCAGCGAGACUCGGCACGUAAUGGAUGCGGAGUGGGCCCACAGGAAACUUCCAAUGCAUUAUUCCCUUUGUCGGGAUUUAAAGAAUCGAUCGACCACUUAUUCCCUUUGUCCGGAUUGGUUGUCAUAGGUGUUAGGUUGACCCCUAUAUUCCAAAUCAUGCAGGUAAUAAUAUAUUUCUAGAUUGUCUCAUAUGCCUUCUCGAUGUGCGAGGCCAUGUUUUUUCCUUUUGCGUGGCGACAAUGGUUCUUUCAAGUCACCAAUUAUCAUGCAUGGCUCUUUCUCUUUUGGGAUUAUUCACACUACCGACGAUCCCAUGUGGUGCCUCUCCCGAGCAUGGGGUUCUUAAUAGACAAAAAUACCCCGCUGCCUCUGGCCAUGCGAAAACAAAACCCUCCAGUCACAUGUGUUGUGCCCCCUUCUUGCUUCAACAUUCUUAUCUCACAUUAUUGGUUGUCAUAGGUCUUAGUUUAACACCUAUAUGCCAAAUCAUGCAGGUGAUAACAUAUUUCUAAAUUGUUUCAUAUUCCUUUUCGAUAUGCGAGCCCGUUUUUUUCUUUUGAGUGGCGACAAUGGUUCAUUCAAGUCACCAAUAAUCAUCCAUGGCUCUUUCGCUUUUGGGAUUAUUCACACUAAUGACAACCCCAUGUGGUGCCUCUCCGGAGCAUGGGGUUCGCCAUAGCCAAAAAUGCCCCGCCGCCUCAGGCCAUGGGGAAACAAAACGCUCCAGUCACGUGUGGUUGCGCCCCUUCUUGUUUUAACAUUCCUACCUACAUUAUUGGUUGUCAUAGGUCUUAGGUUGACCCCUAUAUGCCAAAUCAUGCAGGUAGUAAUAUAUUCCUUGAUUCUUUCGUAUGCCUUUUUGAUGUGCAAGCCCGAGUUUUUUUUCUUUCGCAUGGCGACAAUGGUUCAUUCAAGUCACCAGUCAUCAUCAGUGAUGCCUCUCCCGAGCACGGGGUUCUCCAUAGAUAGAAAUGCACACUGCCUCGGGACAGAGGGAAUCAAAAUGUUCCAGUCACGUGUCGCUCCACCCUCUUCUUGCUUUAACAUUCCUAUCCGACAUUACUGGUUGUCAUGGGUUUUGGGUUGAUCCAUUUAUGCGAAAUCAUGCAAGUAAUAACAUACCUCUAAAUUGUUUCAUAUGCCUUUUCGAUAUGAGAGGCCGAGUUUUUUAUGUAGGGACAGUGGUUCGUUCAAGUCACCAAUCCUCAUCCAUGGCUCUUUCUCUUUUGGUCUUAUUCACACUAACGACGAUCCCAUGUGGUGCCUCUACCGAGCAUGGUGUUCUCAAUAGACAAAAAUGCCCUGCUGCCUUUGGCCAUGCGGAAAAAAAACUCUCCAGUCGCAUGUGGUUGUGCCCCCUUCUUGCUUCAACAUUCUUAUCUCACAUUAUUGGUUGUCAUAGGUCUUAGUUUAACCCCUAUAUGCCAAAUCAUGCAGGUGAUAACAUAUUUCUAAAUAGUUUCAUAUGCAUUUUCGAUAAGCGAGCCCUUUUUUCUUUUGAGUGGCGACAAUGGUUCAGUCAAGUCGCCAAUAAUCAUCCAUGGCUCUUUCUCGUUUAGUAUUCAAACUAACGACAACCCCAUGUGGUGCCUCUCCGGAGCAUGGGGUUGUCCAUAGCCAAAAAUGCCCCGCCGCCUCCGGCCAUGGGGAACCAAAACGCUCCAAUCACGUGUGGUUGCGCCCCUUCUUGUUUUAACAUUCCUACCUACAUUAUUGGUUUUCAUAGGUCUUAGGUUGACCCCUAUAUGCCAAAUCAUGCAGGUAGUAAUAUAUUCCUUGAUUCUUUCAUAUGCGUUUUCGAUGUGAAAACCCGAGUUUUUUUCUUUUGCAUGGCGAUAGUGGUUCAUUCAAGUUACCAGUCAUCAUCUAUGAUGCCUCUCCCGAGCAUGGGGUUCUCCAUAGACAAAAAUGCAUGUUGCCUCAGGACAUAGGGAAUCAAAACGCUCUAGUCACAUGUGGUUCCACCCUCUUCUUGCUUUAACAUUCCUAUCUCACAUUAUUGGUUGUCAUAGGUUUUGGGUUGAUCCAUUUAUGCGAAAUCAUGCAAGUAAUAACAUAUCUUUAAAUUGUUUCAUAUGCCUUUUCGAUAUGAGAGCUAGAGUUUUUUAUUUUGUGUGGCGACAAUGGUUCAUUCAAGUCACCUAUCAUCAUCCAUGACUGCUGUAAAAAUAAGCUACACUCACCCACUCUUUUCUCUUAUAUAACCUUUUUGCAAGUAGUCUUAUAGGAUAUUUCUAUUUUCUUUUUCACAUCAAGAAACAUGAGGCUUAAAGUUAGUUUGAUAAGGGGCUUAUGGUCCGCUUAACUAUAUGAAGUGAACAUAAUAAAAAUGAGAGAUGUGAGCCCACAUGAAACUUUGAAUGCAUUACACCCGCAGUACGGGUUUAAAGGGUCAGUCGACCACUUAUCCCAGUCCUGAAUUGCUUCAAGUGUCUGUCUCAUUUUUCCCAUUGCCUUGUUUCCGGCAUGCAUGGUUUAUAAGCCGUUGCGUGCAAGUGCCCCAUGAUGUGCCUUAUGAGGUCUGCAUGCAAUACAGUGCAUUAAUAUUUUAUUUAAAUAUUCCACCUUUAAUGAAUUGUAUUGUAUCUAAAAUAGCACUCAUUUAACAUGUUCUGCAAGAGAAAAUGUUAGAGUUGUCUUGUUUUGAUGCUAAGAGCUAUACCUAGAUUAAAAUAUUGUAACUCUAUCUUUUCCCCGUCGCUCCCUUCCUCAUGUAUCGCUCCCAUAGGUUACCCGGGAGAAAACACUAGCCGGCUGCCGCAGGCUUCCCCAACACCUCACCCCCCUUCUCCGCCAUCGUUGGAGGGCGUCGUCGGGCAAAGCCCGCGUGGCGUUGGUGGCAACAUGGCAUGUUCUCUCUUCCUCUCGCAUCAGAUGGGGCGGUAUGGGAUGCUAGAUUUAGCAGAGGCUUGCACGGCGGUUGAGGGAGUCCUGGAUUAGGGGGUGUUCGGAUAACUGGACUAUACCUUCAGCCGGACUCCUGGACUAUGAAGAUACAAGAUUGAAGACUUCGUCCCGUGUCCAGAAGGGACUUUCCUUGGCGUGGAAGGCAAGCUUGGUGAUACGGAUAUGCAGAUCUCCUACCAUUGUAACCGACUUUGUGUAACCCUAACCCUCUCCGGUGUCUAUAUAAACCGGAGGGUUUUAGUCCGUAGGACAACAUACACAACAACAAUCAUACCAUAGGCUAGCUUCUAGGGUUUAGCCUCUCCGAUCUCGUGGUAGAUCUACUCUUGUACUACCCAUAUCAUCAAUAUUAAUCAAGCAGGACGUAGGGUUUCACCUCCAUCAAGAGGGCCCGAACCUGGGUAAAACUUCGUGUCCCUUGCCUCCUGUUACCAUCCGGCCUAGACGCACAGUUCGGGACCCCCUACCCGAGAUCCGCCGGUUUUGACACCGACAGCGGUGGGGUGCGCUCGCCGGUGUCGGCCAAGAGUUCGUGGUGGCUCGGGUGGGAGGAGUUUUGUUGGCGGAGAUCCAAGUUGAAGUAGCGGUUCGAUUAUGAUUUUCCUUCCAUCUGAAUCUGGCUUUAGCGAGAUGCUCGGCUCGUCAUGGCCGCAGCUGGAAGUUUGGAGGUGGUCGUCGCUCCAAGAAGAUGGUGGAUGGUGGUGGGGUGGACAUGCAACUCUGGUGGUGGAGGAUGGCGGGGGUUGGUGGUUCCCCUCCUGCCAGCGAGUCUCGACGCGUCAUGAAUACAUAGUGGGCCCAUUGGAAACUCCCAAUGCAUUAUUCCCCUUGUCUGGAUUUAAAGGGGUGAUGGACCUCUUAUCACCGUCCGAAACUGCUCCAAUUGUUGUGUCUCCUUUUUUCCUAUUCCCUUGUUUCCCUCGUGCACGGUUACGAGCUUUGCAUGCACGCAUUUUUUGAGAAAGCUACAUGGUCAUAUAAAAUACGGUUACAACACCACACAUACACCUGAACAGGACAAAUGAAGAAAGACAUUUUCCCUGUACAUCUGCAAAUAGGACCCCCAAAAGGAAAAUAUGCAAUCUAGUCCUUGGAGAUCCCUAUACACAAAAGAGCAACUCUCCAUCGCCAACACCCGGAACCGAAGAAAUAGCACCGGAGGUGAAGCAGAUGAAGGUCUAGCAUACCCAAAUCCAAAGAAGCACCAUUGCAACAAUAGCCGCUUUUUGAGCCAAAGAACACGCUAAUGUCGUGCAUGAAAGUCAUUGUGUGUAAGUGCCCCAUGAUGUGCCUUACGAGGUGUGCAUGCAAUCAAGUGCAUUAAAUGUUUAUUUAGACAUAUCCCCUCUGAUGAAUUAUAACCUAUGGUAUCUAAAUAGCUCUCACUUGUCGUGUUCUGUGAGAGAAAAUGUUAGAUUUGUCUUGUUUUGAUGAUAAGUUCUAUACUUAGAUUAAAAUAUUGUAACUCUAUCUUUCUUCAUAAAAUAGUGUGGGAAAUUAGAUUUUUGUUGAGGUGUCAUGAUUAAGAUACAGUCCAUGAUGGAAGAUUGAGACUUCCCUCAUUCAAGAGCCUCCAUCUACACGUGCUCCUAGGUAAAAAAGUGUAAAAGCCCAUUUGAUUUGAAGGUUUUUCAUAUGAAUUGUAGAGGGUUAGAAUCCUUAGGAAAUGUUCCUGUGUUGGUCGUUUGAUUCAUAUGAUUGAAUCAUAUAUGAAUAUUUCCCAAGAGAUCCAUUGUAGUACGUUUUGAAGGAAAAUUUGCAUCCACUCCACCCUCAUGCAAAGAAUCCUUUGUUUUCCUAUGGUGCGACCAAAUACACUUUGGUGCAGACAAAAUGAUGUAGGAUUUGAGUGGACAUGUGACUGCAUUCCUACAUUUUCUCUAUCCCUAAGUUUUUCCUAUUAUCCGAAUCAAAGAAGCCCUAAAUGAAGAGGAAGUGGAAAGAGGGGAAGUAAAAAGGCAACCAUUAAAAUUAGUAAUGAGUGUUGAGACCCUCAACUCUGUUAUUAUCAAGUACAACUAAUUUUGUUAGUGUUUUAUAUUUUUAUGUAUAAUAAAAAAAUCUACUUAGGGCCUAUUUCAAACACAUGGUAGAAAAAAAUAGGAAAAUUGUAGGAAUUGUGAGUCAUGUCUUCUAGAUUCUCAUGGAAAUUUGAAGCACCUUUGUACAACAUAGUUGUUUGGACGUUCCACAUGAAUUUUCAGGAAAUUGUUUCUUUUUGGGGGGGGGGGAUACACAUGUUGCAGUUGACUUAUCAAAGGAAAUGAAAACAUAUGGUUUGGGAAAAUGUUUAUAAUCCUCCAAAAUGUGAAGGAGAUAAAAGUUUCUUAUAUGAUUCAAUUCCUAUGGGAUCAUGUAAAAUUUAUUUGUACCAAAUGAGGCCUUAGUGGUUUACCAAAAAACUUCAAAUAAUAAUAUUCAACAUAACACUAUACUCCUCAGCAAGGGCACCAGUAAAAAGCUUCAUUACCCUUGACUGUAAGGGAGAAUUGUAGCACUUCUCCAAUAUGGAUGUGGAAGUAGUGAAUGUCGAUCCCAAAAGAAUCUAAGGGUAGACCUCCUAUUCUCUCAAACUACAUUUGCCACUGAUACAACUUUCUCUGCACUUAGUGUUUACUUAUUUUGACACUCUAAUAACAAACAAAACAAUGUUGAGGAAUGACAUAAUGAACUAAUAUUAAAUAGGAAAAGGUGAUCCAUUGAACUCUGUGACCUCUGACGUGACAGGUGGAGAUACCUAUGAGAACUAAAAACAAUAUGAGAUAACGGUGAUCCAUUGAACCUAAUGCUUGGUUCCGGGCUUAUGACCUUAAUUGGCAACGGAGAAGCAGGACCAUAGAAUGAAAUGUAACCCCUAGUGGAGGAGUUUCAUAACUCUUGGGAGAACCGCCUAUAGAAAGUUUAUAUCAAAUACUAUAAGUACAAUACAAGGCAACUGGUAUUACCGUCGCACUGGCACAAUUCAUAUAUUCUUACCAUGGACUGAAAUCUUUCCACACCUAAUAACUUCAUUGCAGGAAACACCAUUUACAUGUUAAGCUCUUGUUAUUUACUUUAUUUAGUUAUUUAGUAGACAUCUUUAAAUCCUCCUUUUGCUAUCCUUUUUAGUUUAUUGUUGCCCAGUACAGUAACAAUAUUUGCAUGACCUCAAGCAGUACUUCACACAAGAGCUAUGACAUGUUGUGUGUGACAGAAACCCUCCAGAAAUACUCUCCUCCGCUCUUUGUUGGUCGAUUACUCAAUGGGAUACUUCUGCCAAAGUGCUACACCACCAUGUUAGGUCUGCAGGUACCAGCAUGCUCACAAUAUAUAUGGAAGUAUGUAUAGUUGAACAUUUGGUUCCCGAGGCAGACUUGUGUCUUGACUAGCUCGUGCUGCUGACCAAACUGUUGUGGACCCGAUUCUUGAGAUGCACUGCCAACUGACUGUGUAGUAUCUUGUACCAAAGCCGAGAAAUGUUUGUAGUGCCAUACUGACGAAGAUUGGAUAGCUUGCAUUCGAAGCCAUCCAAAGUAUCAUGCUGAAGAAGCUUCAAUAGCUUAUGCUCGAAGCUUUUGUCCGGGCAGCAUGCUGAAGAAGACUGGGUACUGUACCUCAGAAGCUUUUCCUUUGGUUUCUUAUUGAGAAAGAUUUAUUGCCAUAUGUCAAAAAAAAUUGUGGUAGCUUAUUGAAGAAGACCGAGUAUAUUAUACUGGAAGCUUUCCACAUAUCGUGUUGACGAAGAUUGAGGAGCCUUGCAUCGUAAGCUGCUCUGGUAGCGUGUGAUACGUCUCCAAUGUAUCUAUAAUUUUUUAUUGUUCCAUGCUGUUAUAUUAUCAUUCUUGGAUGUUUUACAAUCAUUUUAUAGCAACUUUAGAUAGGUUUUUGGGACUAACCUAUUGACAUAGUGCCCAGUGCCAAUUGUUGUUUUUUGCUUGUUUUUACUUUGCAGAAUAUCCCUAUCAAAUGGAGUCCAAACGCAGCAAAACUUUUUGGAGAAUUUUGAUGGACCGGAAGACAACUUGGGAGGCAAGGAAGCACCUGGGGAAUGCUCGUGGGGCCCACAACACACCAGGGCACGCCAGAGGCCCCUCGCGCGCCCUAAUGUCUUGUGGGGCCCACAGGGAUCUCCUCGACCGCUUCUUAGCUCUAUAAAUACCCAAAUAUUCCAGAGACCCUAGGGGAGUCGACGAAACACAAUUCCAGUAGCCGCAAGUUCCAGAACCACAAGAUCCAAUCUAGAGCCCUAUUCCGGCACCUUGCCAGAGGGGAACACGAUCACGGAGGGGUUCAUCAUCCUUAAUGGUGCUGCUCCAAUAAUGCAUGAGUAGUUCACCAUACACCUACGGGUCCGUAGGCAGUAGCUAGAUGGCUUCUUAUCUCUUUUUGAUUCUCAAUACAAUGGUCUCUUGGAGAUCUAUUUGAUGUAAUGAAUUUUUGCGGUGUGUUUGUUGGGAUCUGAUGAAGUUCGAGUUUAUGAUCAGAUCUCUAUCCAUCAAUAUUAUUUGAGUCUUCUUUGAUCUCUUUUAUGCAUGAUUAUCUAUAGCCAGCCAGAGUAGUACUCUUUGUUUAAUUUAGAGCGCAUGUCUUUAAUUUGUUAGGGUAAUGUUUAGGUCAGCUAGCUCUAUUUAAUUGUUGAACUUGCUCGAUUAAGAAGUGUGGGUGUGUUGUAGGCUCCUUUGUGUACCCAAGUUAUGCAAUGACAUGGAUGACCACUGUAACCAGGGAUAUACGGACCAAAAUUUGCACAUUCGAACUCAUCACACAUGGGGUAAGCUAUAUGAAUUGUUUGUGAUGUUCCCAAAUCAUACAUAGUGUUGAAUAGGGGACCGUGUCGGAGGACACAUUGCGCGCCAGUUUUUUUGUUGCAUCGAUCCAAAAUUUUCGGCUUCCGCAGAAAUAUCUACCUCCCCUCCCCCCUCUUACCAAAAGCCACAUUUACCCUGUUUCCGCCUUCUUUUCCAAGUUCAAACCUUCACUCCUUGCUUGCAGCGCCGCCUCCUCACUAGCGAUCCUCCUUCACGCUGCUCGGCCUCGUCGAUCCAGGCACGUAAUCUACACUUGAACCCCAUCCUCCUCCUUCCACAUCCCACAUGCCCCGACCACCGAUGCGACACCUUUCAUCCAAAUCACUAAACCCUCCCCCAAAUAAGCGCUGCCCUAAGCCAUGGUGCACGCAGUAUAGCCAAGAGCUCAAGGAGCAUUUGGCGACAGAGAGGCAAAUCGCGGCCGCGCACGUGGAUGAGGACGCGAUGGCUGCCAUCCGUGCCGACCCCUAGAUCUUUGAGGAGCACCUCGCCGUCGAGGCCACCGUCGGUGCCUCACGCGCCGACGCCGCCACGCGGUUGGUUUCUUUAACCGACAGUUCAUGGCAUUUUAUCGAGGCCACCAUCGGUGCCUUCGAUGAAUACUACGAGGUGUUUUCUCUGUGUACCUGUGCUUACCUCAACUUGAGAGCCAACAGGUCGGUGCCCGGAGCGGCUCAGGCAACUCACCACUACGAGGAGGGCACCCAUGAUUUGGAGGCCUCACCCUCUUCCAUGUCCAAGGAGCCAAUGAUCAUCGAUAUCUUCGACGAUGAGGACUAGCUUGUCUUAUUAGCUCGCUAUAAGGACCUAUGUUCAGUUAGCUAGCUACGCCAGUUAAGCAUGCUUGGUUUACCCAUUGCAUGUGCUACUCCUGCCUUUCCUUAACAAAUUCUCGUGAAUUGUCAUAUCUACUUUUACCAUGCAAUCAGUUGCUCUAGUGUAUGUGUUCUAUAUGUCGUGCAAUGUGGUGCUCACUUAUUAACUGUUUGGUUAAUUAGUUGUCGUGUUUAGUUAACUAUUUGGUUCAAUUAUGUAAUGUGGUGUUCAAUUCUUCAGGGUGCAAUUUUGUAUUGUCUUCCAUGUGAGAAAUAAGUCAAAUUUAUCUGUACAAAAUAUAUAAGAAACAAAUACAAUUGCUAUAUUUCCAAGUUGUCAAGCAUGCUAGGUUUGGUUAACUAUCAGAUCUUCUAGUAUGUUAUAUAUUGUGCAAUGUGGUGCUCAGCUAAUGUUUGGGUCAUUUGUUGUGGUGUUUAGUUAACUGUUUGGUUCAAAUCUGCAAUGCGAUGUUCAAUUGUUGUGGGUGCAUUUUUUAUUGUUAUACCAUGUGAGAAAUAAAUUGAAUUUAGUUGUACUAAAUACAUGAGAAACAAAUACAAUUGCUAUAUUUCCAAGUUGUUAAGCAUGCUUGGUUUGGUUAAUUGCAUGAUCUUCUAUUAAGAGUAUGUUAUAUUGUGUAAUGUGGUGCUCAGGUAAUGUUUGGUUCAUUUGGUGUGGUGUUUAGUUAACUGACUGGUUCAAUUCUGCAAUGCGACGUCCAAUAGUUGUGGAUAGACUUUUGUAUUAUUAUUCAUGUGAGGAAUAAAUUGAAUUUGGCUGCACUUAAUACAUGAGAAACAUAUACAAUUGCUAUAUUUCCUAGUUCUUAAUCAGGUUUGGUUUGGAUAAAUGGGUUUUCCAUGUGGCUCGAAUUAAUCUGAUGAAUAUGCAAUGUGUCUAUUUUUCAUCAAUAUAUUUUACUAAUAGCAUGCCAACCCUCACUUAACCUGAUCACUAAAUACCUUAUAUGUGUUGCAGGGAAACAAUGGGAAGCACUUAAGUUUACAAUCAAGAUUUGCACAUGCAUGGUCCUUUGUCUAAUAGCACAUUAUGCAAUUGCAGGAAGCAUUCUAAUAUUUAUGUUUUUAACAAUUUGGUCUUGCACAUGUAGGUCCUGCUGUUAGAUGUUUUGACCCACUGUUCGACCCUUUUUGCAUAUGGGGAAAUGAGUUGUCCAUGAAUAUCAGUCAAGUCAAGAAACUUAGAAAGAUUGUUAGUGUAAAGAAAUCAGCGACAAAAAACAAUAAGAACUUUUUUUACACAAUGAAGAAGACAUCAGUUCACUACAGGAUGGUACUAACUAUUAUACCUUGUCUUUUUUAUUCCUUUGCGCCAUUUCAAAUCUUGAGAAGAUAUUUAUGCACAUCCUUGUUUUCAGGCCUUUCCAAAGUAGCUCAGUGAUGAUUACCUCUCAACCCACAUGUAUGCUCAGGAGGCGCGGAAGGUAUUCAUACAACACUCAUGGUUCAAUAUGGAAGUCUUCUUGAAGAGGACGAAGGAUGGACGGUCAAUCAUCCACAGGCAUUGGCCUAAAGUUGCAAAGACCUUCAACAUCAAUGAAGACACAAUAUUCGCCUUCCGCUUCAACAGUUUUCCAGAUGAGAUUCAUCUCUCUAGGUACCGUCUAUGAUGCUAAUUUCGAAAGCUUAUAGAUGUUGCAUGUGAAACUUGGUGCUGGUGAGUUCUGUAAUAGGGUAGCUGAGUGCUGAAGCUAUAUGAUAUUGUACUCUGAUGUACUCCCUCCGUUCCAGAAUAUAAGGUGUAUUGGUUUCCAUGCAAGUGGACCAUUUGAAAGUUUGACCAAUAUUAUAGAAUAAAAUAUCAACAUCCACAAUAUCUAGUAGAUAAAAUAUGAAACUACUUUUCAUGAUGGAUUAAAUCAUAUAAAUUUGGCAUUUUGGAUCUUAAUAUAUUUUUCUAAAAACUUGGUCAAACAUGCACACAUUUGAAUUUUGAAAAAACAAAUACACCUUUGGUUCGGCUUGAACUACAUCGGUAUUUCUGCAAUGAGGAAGGGAUGAUGCAGCACAGCUAUGGUAGGUAUUUCCCUCAGUGAUGAGACUAAGUUUAUCAAACCAGUAGGAGAACCACGCAACACUACGUGAAUGGCACCUGCACACAAAGAACAAAUACUUGCAACCCGAUGUAAAAGAGGGGUUGUCAAUCCCUCCCGGGUAAAAGAUAGGUAAAAUUUGUAGUAGAUUGGAUAAAUAGAUCUUGCGGGAAUGCGAGAUAAAAUAAAUAAAUAAAAAUUGCAGCAAGGUAUUUUUCGGUUUUUGGAUUAAUAGAUCUGAAAAUAAAAGCAAAUAAAAAUAGAUCUCGAAGGCAAAUAUGAUAAAGAAGAGACAUGGGAGGCCGUAGAUUUCACUAGUGGCUUCUCUCGAGAAAAAUAGCAUACGAUGGGUAAACAAAUUAUUGUUGGGCAAUUUAUAGAAAUUCAAUAAUCAUGACAAUAUCGAGGCAAUGAUCAUUAUAUAGGCAAUCACGUCCAAGAUUAGUAGACUGACUCCUGCCUACAUCUACUACUAUUACUCCACACAUCGACCGCUAUCCAGCAAGCAUCUAGUGUAUUAAGUUCAUGGAGAAAUAAAGUAAUGCAAUAAGAAUGAUGGCAUGAUGUAGACAAGAUCUACUCAUAUAGGAAUAGACUCCAUCUUGUUAUCCGUAAUAGCAACGAUACAUAUGUGUUGUUUCCCCUUCUGUCACUAGGAUCGAGCACCAUAAGAUCGAACCCAUUACAAAGCACCUCUUCCCAUGGCAAGAAAAAUCGAUCUAGUCGGCCUAAUAAUCAUGCAUAUAUAUAAGAGAUCGAAAGACUCAAAUAACUUUCUUGGAUAAAAACAUAGAUGUGACCAUAAACUCAAAGUUCAUUGGAUCCCAACAAACACACCGCAAAAAAAGAGUUACAUCAAAUAGAUCUCCAAGAGACCAUUGUAUUGAGAACCAAAAGAGAGAGGAAGCCAUCUAGCUACUAACUACGGACCCGUAGGUCUACAAUGAACUACUCACGCAUCAUCAGAGAGGCACCAAUGAGGAUGAUGAACCCCUCCGUCAUGGUGUCGAGAUUGGAUCUAUGGUUUCUGGAACUUGCGGUAGUCGGAAUUGAUUUUCGUCGAACCCCUAGGGUUUCUGGAAUAUUGGGAUAUUUAUAGAGCAAAGAGGCGGUGCAGGAGGCCAUCGAGGUGGGCACAACCCACCAGGGCGCGCUUGGGCCUCCAGGCAUGCCCGGGUGGGUUGUUCCCCCCUCGGGGCACCCCUCUGGUACUUCUUUGGCCCAACAUGUGUCUUCUGGCCCAGAAAAAUUCUCCAAAAAGAUUCACGGCGUUUGGACUCCGUUUGGUAUUGAUUUUCUGCGAAGUAAAAAACAAGUAAAAAACAGCAACUGGCACUGGGCACUAUGUCAAUAGGUUAGUCCCAAAAAAUGAUAUAAAGUUGCCAUAAAAUGAUUGUAAAACAUCCAAGAAUGAUAAUACAACAGCAAGGAACAAUAAAAAAUUAUAGAUACGUUGGAGACGUCUCAGCAUCCCCAAGCUUAAUUCCUACUCGUCCUCGAGUAGGUAAAUGAUAAAAACAGAAUUUUUGAUGUGGAAUGUUGCCUAACAUGUUCAUCACAUAUUCUUUUCUUUGUAGCAUGGACAUUUGGACUUUUAUAUGAUUCAAAGCAAUAGUCUAGUUUUGAUAUGAAUAUUUCAAUACUCAAGCAUAUCAACAAGCAACCAUGUCUUUCAAAAUAUCAACACUAAAGCAAGUUAUCCCUAGCCCAUUAUGCUCAAUCAUUGAUCCAUUCAUUAAACACACUCGCAUAUUAGCUACACCCAAUGCUCAAGUACGAUCAUAGUGCCCCUUAGUUGGUGCUUUACAAGAGAAGAUGGAGACUCAAAUAAAAAAUUCAUAAAGUAAAAGAAAGGCCCUUCGCAGAGAGAAGUAGGGAUUUGUAGAGGUGCUAGAGCUCAAAGCGAAAAAUCAGAUAUAAAAACAUUUUGGGUGGCAUGCUUUUCUUGUCAACAAAAACGACCGAGUAGUUCCCAAUACUUUCCAUGCUAGAUAUAACAUAGGCAGUUCCCAAAUAGAAAAUAAAAUUUAUUCCUUUUUCCACCAUACUUUCACAUUCCACAGCUAACUGAAUCCACAGGUGCCGUCCAUACCAACACUUUCCAAGGAAUUUAUUAUUUGACAACAUAAAGUAAAUUCAUUUUUCGUUUCGGGAUUGGGCAUCCCUUGUACCUUUGUCGUACUCUCGCGCAAUGACAAUUGGAUAAACACUCAUCUUGAGAAUAAUACAUCUAGCAUGGAAACAUAUCAUCCACCCCCUACCGUUUCAUGAUCGGUACGAGCACACAAAAGAGAAAAUUAUUUUGAAAAUUAGAGAUGGCACAGACAAAUUUGCUUAGAACGGCACGGAAAUACUGCUUAUAGGUAGGUAUAGUGACUCAUAUGUCAAAACUGGUUUAAGGAUUUUGGAUGCACAAGUAGUGAUCAUACGUAGUGCAAAUGAAGGCUAGCAAAAGAUUGAGAAGCAUCCAACCAAGAAACAAAAAAUCUCAUAAGAGAGCAUUAAGCAUAACUAACACCGAAUAAUGCACCACAAGUAGGAUAUAAUUUCAUUGCAUAACUACUGACUUUUGUGCUUGCAUAGGGAAUCACAAACCUUAACAUCAACAUUCUUACUAAAGCAUAAUUACUCAUCAACAUGACUCACAUAUUAUAUUAUCAUAUCGCAAAACUAUUACAAGGAACCAAGUUUAUUUUGUCCAAUGAUCUUCAUGAAAGUUUUUAUUAUAUCCCUCUUGAAUAUAUAUCACUUUGGGACUAAUUUCAUAAGUUGUUUUUGAUAUCUCAAACAAAUCUAAGUGAAGAACAUGAGCAUAAAAAAUUUCUUCUCACUGACAGAUCCGUUCUCCUCCAUCUUGCAGGCAUAGAACUUAUCGGAGGUCUCAUACCUCUUGAUCCGGGCAUUCUUCGCAAAGAUAAACUUCAACUCUUGGAACAUCUCAUAUGCUCCAUGACGUUAAAAAUGCCUUUGAACUCCCGGCUCUAAGCCAUACAGCAUGGCGCACUCAACUAUUGAUUACUCAUCGACACGCGACUGCCAAGCGUUCACAACGUCCACAGUCGCUGGAGGGGGUGGUGAUACGUCUCCAACGUAUCUAUAUUUUUUAUUGUUCCAUGCUAUCAUAUUAUCUAUUUUUGACGUUUUAUAUGCAUUAAUAUGUUAUUUUAUAUGAUUUUUGGGACUAACCUAUUAACCUAGAGCCCAGUGUCAGUUUCUGAUUUUCCUUGUUUUAGAGUUUCGCAGAAAAGGAAUACCAAACAGAGUCCAAACGGAAUAAAACUUUCGCGAUGAUUUUUCUUGGACCAUAAGACACUCAAGAGACUUGGAGUGCAAGUCAGAAGAGCCACGAGGCGACCACAAGGGUGGAGGGCACGCCCAGGGGGUGGGGUGCGGCCCCCAAACUUGUGGGCCCCUCGGUGGCCUCUUGACCUAGAUCUUCCUCCUGUAUAUACUCUUAUACCCUGAAAACCUCCAAGGGAGCCACGAAACCACUUUUCCACCGCCGCAACCUUCUGUACCCGUGAGAUCCCAUCUUGGGGCCUUUUCCGGCAUCCUGCCGGAGGGGGAUUCGAUCAUGGAGGGCUUCUACAUGAACACCAUUGCCUCUCCGAUGAAGCAUGAGUAGUUUACUUCAGACCUACGGGUCCAUAGCUAUUAGCUAGAUGGCUUCUUCUCUCUCUUUGAUUCUCAAUACCAUGUUCUCCUCGAUGUUCUUGGAGAUCUAUUCAAUGUAAUACUCUUUUGCGGUGUGUUUGCCGAGAUCCGAUGAAUUGUGUAUUUAUGAUCAGAUUAUCUACAAAUAUUAUUUGAAUCUCCUCUGAAUUAUUUUAUGCAUGAUUUGAUAUCUUUGCAAGUAUCUUCGAACUAUCAUUUGGUUUGGCCAACUAGAUUGGUUUUUCUUGCAACGGGAGAAGUGCUUAGCUUUGGGUUCAAUCUUGCAGUGCUCGAUCCUAGUGACAGAAGGGGAACCGACACGUAUUGUAUUGUUGUCAUCGAGGAUAAAAAGAUGGGUUUUCAUAAUAUUGCUUGAGUUAAUUCCUCUACAUCAUGUCAUCUUGCUUAAGGCCUAAAUCCGUUCUUUAUGAACUUAAUACUCUAGAUGCAUGAUGGAUAGCGGUCGAUGUGUGGAGUAAUAGUAGUAGAUUCAGAAUCGUUUCAGUCUACUUGACACGGAUGUGAUUCCUAUAUUCAUGAUCAUUGCCUUAGAUAUCGUCAUAACUUUGCACUUUUCUAUCAAUUUUUCAGCAGUAAUUUGUUCACCCAUCGUAAUAUUUUCUAUCUUGAGAGAAGCCUCUAGUGAAACCUAUGGCCCCUGGGUCUAUUUUCCGUCAUAUAAGUUUCCGAUCUACAAUUCUAGUUUCCUAUUUACUUUCUUUUGCAAUCUAUUACUUUACGUUCCAUAAACCAAAAAUACCAAAAAUAUUACUUCACCCUAUCAGAUCUCACUUUGCGAAUAACCGUGAAGGGAUUGACAACCCCUUUGUCAUGUUAGUUGCAAGUUGGUGUUUGUUUGUGCAGGUAUUCGGUGGCUUGUCGCGUUAUCUCCUACUGGAUUGAUACCUUGGGUCUCAAAACUGGGGGAAAUACUUAUGCUACUUUGCUGCAUCACCCUUUCCUCUUCAAGGGAAAAACUAAUGCAAGCUCAAGAGGUAGCAGGUGGCGCACCAAGCGGUGCAUCAAGGACAUAAGCCUUUUGGGCAGUCGUGAGGAUAAUCCUCAGAUUAUGGGCCCAGUCCACAAAGUUACUUCCAUCAUAUUUUAGCUUAGCUUUCUCUAGGAACGCAUUAAAAUUCAGGGGAGCUACUGUGUAAGUCAUUGAUCUACAACAUAAAUUUGCAAAGAUAACUUAGACUACUGUUCAUGAUAAAUGAAUUCAAUUAAUCAUAUUACCUAAGAACUCCCACUCAAAUCAACAUCCCUCGGGUUGUCCAAGUGUAACAUGAUCCAAAUUCACCAACCCAAGUCUAAUCAUCACAUGAGAUGAGGUGGUUUCAAUGGUGAACAUCUCCAUGUUGAUCAUUGCUACCUCUUGAGCACUGCGUUGGUUUUCCCUUGAAGAGGAAAGAGUGGUGCAGUAAAGCAGCGUAAGUAUUUCCCUCAGUUUUUGAGAACCAAGGUAUCAAUCCAGUAGGAGACCACGCGCGAGUCACCUCGUACCUACACAAACAAAUAAGAACCUCACAACCAACGUGAUAAAGUGGUUGUCAAUCCCUUCACGGCCACUUGCAAGAGUGAGAUCUGAUAGAGAUGAUAAUAAUAAGAUAAGUAUUUUUGGUAUUUUUAUGAUAUAGAUUGAAAGUAAAGAUUAUAAAAUAAAAUAGAUUGGAAACUUGUAUGAUGAAAAAUAGACCCGGGGGCCAUAGGUUUCACUAGUGGCUUCUCUCAGGAUAGCAUAAGUAUUACGGUGGGUGAACAAAUUAUUGUCGAGCAAUUGAUAGAAAAGCGAAUAAUUAUGAGAAUAUCUAGGUAUGAUCAUGUAUAUAGGCAUCACGUCCGUGACAAGUAGACCGACUCCUGCCUGCAUCUACUACUAUUACUCCACACAUCGACCGCUAUCCAGCAUGCAUCUAGAGUAUUAAGUUCAUAAGAACAGAGUAAUGCAUUAAACAAGAUGACAUGAUGUAGAGGGAUAAACUCAUGCAAUAUGAUAUAAACCCCAUCUUUUUAUCCUCGAUGGCAACAAUACAAUACGUGUUGUUUCCCUUUCUGUCACUGAGAUCGAGCACCGCAAGAUUGAACCCAAAGCUAAGCACUUCUCCCAUUGCAAGAAAGAUCAAUCUAGUAGGCCAAGCCAAACUGAUAAUUCGAAGAGACUUGCAAAGAUAAACCAAUCAUACAUAAAAGAAUUCAGAGAAGAUUCUAAUAUUGUUCAUAGAUAAUCUGGAUCAUAAACCCACAAUUCAUCGGAUCUCGACAAACACAUCGCAAAAAGCAGAGUUACAUCGAAUAGAUCUCCAAGAGAAUCGAGGAGAACUUUGUAUUGAAAUCCAAAGAGACAGAAGAAGCCAUCUAGCUACUAGCUAUGGACCCAAAAGUCUGAGGUAAAAUACUCACACAUCAUCGAAGAGGCCAUGGAGUUGAUGUAGAGGCCCUCCAUGAUCGAUGCCCAUCCGGCGGAGCUCCGGAAAAGGCCCCAAGAUGGGAUCUCUUGGGUACAGAAGGUUGCGGCGGUGGAAAUAGGGUUUCAUGGUGCUCCUGGAUGUUUGCGGGGUAUGUGAACAUAUAUAGGAGGAAGAAGUAGGUCGGUGGAGCUACGAGGGGCCCACGAGGGGGGAGGGCAUGCCCAGGGGUAGGCGCACCCCCUGCCUCGUGGCCGCCUCGUUGAUUGCUUGACGUCCACUCCAAAUCCUUUGGAUCACGUUUGUUCCAAAAAUCACGUUCCCGAAGGUUUCAUUCCGUUUGGACUCCGUUUGAUAUUCCUUUUCUAUGAAACACUUAAAUAGGCAAAAAAACAGCAAUUUGGGCUGGGCCUCCGGUUAAUAGGUUAGUCCCAAAAAUAAUAUAAAAGUGUAAAAUAAAGCCCAUUAACAUCCAAAACUGAUAAUAUAAUAGCAUGGAACAAUCAAAAAUUAUAGAUACAUUGGAGACGUAUCAGCAUCCCCAAGCUUAAUUCCUGCUCGUCGUCAAGUAGGUAAAUGAUAAAAACAGAAUUUUCAAUGUGGAAUGUUUUCUAGAAUAUUCUUCAAUGUAUUUUUCUCUAUUGUGGCAUGAAUGUUCAGAUCCGAAAGAUUCAAGAUAAAAGUUUAUUGUUGACAUAAAAAUAGUAAUACUCCAAGUAUGCUAAUCAAGCAAUUAUGUCUUAUCAAAAUACCAUAGCCAAAGAAAACUUAUCCCUACAAAGUCAUAUAGUUUGGCCAUGCUUCAUUUUUGUCACACAAAAUGCUCUCGUCAUGCACAACCCUGAUGAUAAGCCAAGCAAUUGUUUCAUACUUAGCCUUUUCAAACUCUUUCAACUUUUACGCAAUAUAUGAACAUGAGCCAUGGACAUAGCACUAUGGGUGGAAUAGAAUAUGAUGAUUGAGGUUGUGUGAGAAGAAAAAAGGGAUAAAGUCUCACAUUAACGCGGAUAAUCAAUGGGCUAUGGAGAUGCCCACCGAUUGAUGUCAAUGCAAGGAGUAGGGAUUGCCAUGCAACGAAUGCACUAGAGCUAUAAAUAUAUGAAAGCUCAUCAAAGAAACUAAGUGGGUGUGCAUCCAACUCGCUUGCUCACGAAGACCUAGGGCAUUUGAGGAAGCCCAUCAUUGGAAUAUACAAGCCAAGUUCUAUAAUGAAAAAUUCCCACUAGUAUAUGAAAGUGACAAAAUAAGAGACUCUCUAUCAUAAAGAUCAUGGUGCUACUUUGAAGCACAAGUGUGGAAAAAGGAUAGUAACAUUGUCCCUUCUCUCUUUUUCUCUCAUUUAUUUAUUUCUUUCUUUAUUUUUUAUUUGGGCCUUCUUUUUUUUGCCUCUUUUCUUUCUUUUUUUUCUUUUUAUUUCGUCCGGAGUCUCAUCCCUACUUGUGGGGGAAUCAUAAUCUCCAUCAUCCUUUCCUCACAUGGGACAAUGCUCUAAUUAUGAUCAUCACACUUUUAUUUUCUUACAACUCAAGAAUUACAUAUCGAUACUUAGAACAAAAUAUGACUCUAUGUGAAUGCCUUCGGCGGUGUACCGGAUUGCGAUGAAUCAAGAGUGACAUGUAUGACAAGAUUACGAACGGUGGCUUUGCCACAAAUACGAUGUCAACUACAUGAUCAUGCAAAGCAAUAUGACAAUGAUGAUGCGUGUCAUAAUAAAUGGAACAGUGGAAAGUUGCAUGGCAAUAUAUCUCGGAAUGGCUAUGGAAAUGCCAUAAUAGGUAGGUAUGGUGGCUGUUUUGAGAAAGAUAUAAGGAGGCUUAUGUGUGAUAGAGCGUAUCAUAUCACGGGGUUUGGAUGCAUUGCCGAAGUUUGCAUCAACUCUCAAGGUGAGACAGGGCAAUGCACGGUACCGAAGAGGCUAGCAAUGAUGGAAGGGUGAGAGUGUGUAUAAUCCAUGGACUCAACAUUAGUCAUAAAGAACUCACAUACUUAUAGCAAAAAUCUACAAGUCAUCAAAACCAAGCACUACGUGCAUGCUCCUAGGGGGAUAGAUUGGUAGGAAAAGACCAUCGCUCGUCCCCAACCGCCACUCAUAAGGAAAGCAAUCAAAGAACACCCCAUGCUUCAAAUUUGUCACAUAACGUUCACCGUACGUGCAUGCUACGGGACUUGCCAACUUCAACACAAGUAUUCAUCAAUUUCACAAUUACUCAACUAGCACACUUCUAAUAUUAUCACCUUUAUAUCUCAAAACCAUCUAUCAAGCAUCCAACUUCUCUUAGCAUUUAAAAUUUAUAACCAAAGUGAAUUACCAUGCUGUUCUAAAGGACUCUCAAAAUGAUAUAAGUGAAGCAUUAGAGAUCAAUUAUUUCUAUAAAGUAUAACCACCGCCGUGCUCUAAAACACAUAAGCGAAGCACUAGAGCAAAAAACUAUAUAGCUCAAAAGAUAUAAGUGAAGCACAUAGAGUAUUCUAAUAAAUUCCAAUUCAUGUGUGUCUCUCCCAAAAGGUGUGUACAGCAAGAAUGAUUGUGGUAAACUAUAAAUCAAAGACUCAAAUCAUACAUGGCGCUCCAAGCAAAACACAUAUCAUGUGGUGAAUAAAAAUAUAGCUCCAAGUAAAGUUACCGAUAGACGAAGACAAAAGAGGGGAUGCCUUCCGGGGCAUCCCCAAGCUUAGGCUUUUUGGUGUCCUUGGAUUUUACCUUGGGGUUCCUUGGUCAUCCCCAAGCUUAGGCUCCUACCACUCCUUGUUCCAUAAUCCAUCAAAUCCUUACCCAAAACUUGAAAACUUCACAACACAAAACUUAAAAGAAAAUCUUCGUGAGCUCCGUUAGUAAAAGAAAACAAACCACCACUUCAAGGUACUGUAAUGAACUCAUUCUUGAUUUAUAUUGGUGUUAAACCUACUAUAUUCCAAUUUUCUAUGGUUCAUAAACUCUAUUACUAGCCAUAGAUUCAUCAAAAUAAGCAAACAACACACGAAAAACAGAAUCUGUCAAAAACAGGACAGUCUGUAGUAAUAUGUAGGUUUCGGCCACUUCUGGAACCCCAAAAAUUCUAAAAUAAAUUGAUGGACUUGAGGAAUUUAUAUAUUAAUCAUCUUAAAAAAUAAUUAACUAAAUAUCACUCUUCAGUAAAAAAAAUGUAGCAAUUCUCGCGAGCGCUAAAGUUUCUAUUUUUUUACAGCAGGAUCAAAAAGACUUUCCCCAAGUCUUCCCAAUGGUUCUACUUGGCACAAACACUAAUUAAAAACAAAAAAUUCAACCAAAACAGAGGCUAGAUAAGUUAUUUAUUACUAAACUGUAGCAAAAUGCAAGGAAUAAAAAUCAAAUUGGGUUGCCUCCCAACAAGCGCUAUCGUUUAACGCCCUUAGCUAGGCAUAAAAGCAAGGAUAGAUCUAGGUAUUGUCAUCUUUGGUAUGCAAUCCAUAAGUGGCUCUCAUAAUAGAUUCAUAAGGUAAUUUAAUUUUAUUUCUAGGAAACUGUUCCAUGCACUUCCUUCACGGAAAUUGGAAUCUAAUAUUCCCUUCGUUCAUAUCAAUAAUUGCACCAAUCGUUCUAAGGAAAGGUCUACCAAGAAUAAUAGGACAUGAAGGAUUGCAAUCUAUAUCAAGAACAGUGAAAUCUACGGGCACCUAGUUCCUGUUUGCAACAAUAAGAACAUCAUUAAUUCUUCCCAUAGGUUUCUUAAUGGUGGAAUCCGCAAGGUGCGAGUUUAGAGAACAAUCAUCAAAUUCACAGAAACAUAGCAAAUCACACAAAGUUUUUUGAAUCAUGGAAACAGCACCCAAAUCACACAAAGCAUAGCAUUCAUGAUAUUUAAUUUUAAUUUUAAUUGUAGGUUCCCAUUCAUCAUAAAGUUUUCUAGGGAUAGAAACUUCCAUCUCAAGUUUUUCUUCAUAAGAUUGCAUCAAAGCAUCAACGAUAUGUUUAGUAAAAGCUUUAUUUUGACUAUAAGCAUGAGGAGAAUUUAGCAUGGAUUGCAACAAGGAAAUACAAUCUAUCAAAGAGAAAUUAUCAUUAUUAAAUUCCUUGAAAUCCAAGAUAGUGGGUUCAUUGCUAUCUAAAGUUUUGACCUCUUCAAUCCCACUUUUACCAAUUUUUGCAUCAAGAUCUAAAAACUCCGAAUUUUUGGGACGCCUUAUAACUAAAGUUGACUCAUAUCCAGUCCCAUCAUUAUCAAGAUUCAUAUUGAAAAACAAGGAUUAAAUAGGGGACACAUCAAUUACUUUUAGAUCUUCAUCUUUAUUGUCAUGAAAACUAGAAGAACACGCUUUCACAAAGCAAUCUUUCUUAGCACGCAUCCUAGCGGUUCUUUCUUUGCACUCAUCAACGGAAAUUAUCAUGGCUUUGAGAGACUAAUUGAUAUAAUGCUUAGGUGGAAUAGAUCUAAGUUUCAAAGAAUCAACAUCAAGAGAAAUUCUAUCCACGUUCCUAGCCAACUCAUCAAUCUUAAGCAAUUUUUCUUCAAUCAAAGCAUUGAAACUCUUUUGCGAAGUAAUAAAUUAUUUAAUACUAGAUUCAAAAUCAGAGUGCAUCUUAUUAUAAUUUCCAUAAGAAUUGUUGUGGGGAUUACCACAAUUAUUAGAGGAAUUACUAGGAAACGGCCUAGAAUUAAAAUCACCGCUAUACGCGUUGUUACCAAAAUUGUUCCUACCAACAAAAUUCACAUCCAUAGAUUCAUUAUUAUUCUCAAUCAAAGUAGACACAGGCAUAUCAUUAGGAUCAGUAGGAGCACUGUUAUUAGCAAAAAAAAUCAUAAGUUCAUCCAUCUUUCCACUCAAAACAUAAAUCUCUUCAAUUGCAUGCACAUUUUUACUAGUAGAUCUUUCAGUGUGCCAUUGAGAAUAAUUAACCCUAAUAUUAUCUAUGAGUUUGGUAGAUUCUCCUAAAGUGAUUUCCAUAAAAGUGCCUCCCGCGUCCGAAUCUAAAAGAUUUCUAGAAGCAAAAUUCAACCCGGCGUAAAAAAUUUGUAUAACCAUCCAUAAAUUCAAACCAUGUGUAGGCAAUUAUGUAUCAUUAAUGUCAUCCUCUCCCAAGAUUGUGCAACAUGUUCAUGAUCAAGUUGCUUAAAAUUCAUAAUAUCGUUUCUAAGAGAGAUGAUCUUAGCGGAAGGAAAAUACUUAGAGAUAAAAGCAUCUUUGCACUUAUUCCAUGAAUCAAUACUAUUUUUAGGCAAAGAUGAAAACCAAGCUUUAGCACGAUCUCUAAGAGAAAACGGAAAUAGCUUAAGUUUAACAAUAUCAUUGUCCACAUCUUUAUUCUUUUUCAUAUCACACAAAUCAACAAAGUUGUUUAGAUGGGUAGCGGCAUCUUCACUAGGAAGGCCAGAAAACGGAUCUUUCAUGACAAGAUUCAGCAAAGCAGUAUUAAUUUCACAAGAUUCAGCAUCGGUAGGAGGAGCAAUCGGAGUGCUAAUAAAAUCAUUAUUGUUGGUAUUGGAAAAGUCACACAAUUUAGUAUUAUCUUGAGCCAUCGUGACAAGCAAGCAACCCAACACACAAGAAAACAAGAAACAGGCAAAAGAGGCAAGUGAAAAAGAGGUGAACAGAAAAAGAGGGCGAAUAAAAUGGCAAGGGUGAAGUGGGGGAGAGGAAAACGAGAGGUAAAUGGAAAAUAAUGUAAUGUGAAGGAUAAGAGUUGUGAUGGGUACUUGGUAUGUCUUAACUUGGCGUAGAUCUCCCCGGUAACGGCACCAGAAAUCCUUUUUGCUACCUCUUGAGCAUUGCGUUGGUUUUCCCUUGAAGAGGAAAGGGUUGUGUAGUAAAGCAGCAUAAGUAUUUCCCUCAGUUUUUGAGAACCAAGGUAUCAAUCCAGUAGGAGACCACGCGCGAGUCACCUUGUACCUACACAAACAAAUAAGAACCUCGCAACCAACGCGAUAAAGGGGUUGUCAAUCCCUUCACAGCCACUUGCAAGAGUGAGAUCUGAUAGACAUGAUGAUAAUAAUAAUAAUAAGAUAAGUAUUUUUGGUAUCUUUAUGAUAUAGAUUGAAAGUAAAGAUUGCAAAAUAAAAUUGAUUGGAAACUUGUAUGAUGGAAAAUAGACCCGGGGGCCAUAGGUUUCACUAGUGGCUUCUCUCAAGAUAGCAUAAGUAUUACGGUGGGUGAACAAAUUAUUGUCGAGCAAUUGAUAGAAAAGCGAAUAAUUAUGAGAAUAUCUAGGUAUGAUCAUGUAUAUAGGCAUCACGUCCGUGACAAGUAGACCGACUCCUGCCUGCAUCUACUAAUAUUACUCCACACAUCGACCGCUAUCCAGCAUGCAUCUAGAGUAUUAAGUUCAUAAGAACAGAGUAAGAUUGAACCCAAAGCUAAGAAUUCUCCCAUUGCAAGAAAGAUCAAUCUAGUAGGCCAUACCAAACUGAUAAUUCGAAGAGACUUGCAAAGAUAAACGUAUCAUACAUAAAAGAAUUCAGAGAAGAUUCAAAUAUUGUUCAUAGAUAAUCUGGAUCAUAAACCCACAAUUCAUUGGAUCUCGACAAACACACCGCAAAAAGAAGAGUUACAUCGAAUAGAUCUCCAAGAGAAUCGAGGAGAACUUUGUAUUGAGAUCCAAAGAGAGAGAAGAAGCCAUCUAGCUACUAGCUAUGGACCCGAGGGUUUGAGGUAAACUACUCACACAUCAUUGGAGAGGCCAUGGAGUUGAUGUAGAGGCCCUCCGUGAUCGAUGCCCCCUCCAGUGGAGCUCCGGAAAAGGCCCCAAAGAUAGGAUCUCUUGGGUAUCGAAGGUUGCGGCGGUGGAAAUAGGGUUUCGUGGUGCUUCUGGAUAUUUGCGGGGUAUGUGAACAUAUAUAGGAGGAAGAAGUAGAUCGGUGGAGCUACGAGGGGGCCACGAGGGGGUGGGCAGGCCCAGGGGGUAGGCGCGCCCCCUGCCUCAUGGUCGCCUCGUUGAUUGCUUGACGUCCACUCCAAGUCCUCUGGAUCACGUUUGUUCCCAAAAUCAUGUUCCCGAAGGUUUCAUUCCAUUUGGACUCCGUUUGAUAUUCCUUUUCUACGAAACACUGAAAUAGGCAAAAAAACAGCAAUUUGGGUUGGGCCUCCGAUUAAUAGGUUAGUCCCAAAAUAAUACUCCCUCUGUUCCUAAAUAUAUGGUGUAUAAUUUUUGGCAUGGAUAUUAAAGAACACACGUGGAGGUAAAAUUUCACAAGUUUUGAGCGAGAUUACACCUGACUAAUUGGCAUGAGAAAAUAGAGGAGCUUGCCUAAUAUAAGGAAGUGUAAUCAAAUCCCAAAAAAAUUAUCCAAACGAGUGGUGCAAUGCAAUACACCUUAUAUUUUGGGUUUUUUCUCAAAAAUCUAUACACCUUAUAUCAAGAAACGGAGGGAGUAUAAAAGUGUAAAAUAGAGUCCAUUAACAUCCAAAAGAGAUAAUAUAAUAGCAUGGAACAAUCAAAAAUUAUAGAUACGUUGGAGACGUAUCAAUCAUAUCAACUAUAUGACUCAUGUUUCACCUUUCGGUCUCUUGUGUUCCUAGGACAUGUCUGUACAUGCUAGGCUCGUCAAGUUUAACCCAAGUGUUCAACAUGUGCAACACUGGCUUGCACCUGUUGUAUGUGAACAUAAAGUCUAUCACACCCGAUCAUCACGUGGUGCUUCGAAACGACAAACUUUCGCAAUGGUGCACACUUGGGGAGAACACAAAUUUAUCUUGAAAUUUUAGUGAGGGAUCACCUUAUAAUGCUAUCGUCUCCCUAAGAAAAAUAAGAUGCAUAAAAGGAUUAACAACACAUGAAAAUCAGAAGUGACAUGAUAUGGCCAUCAACUCGUGCUUUUGAUCUCCAUCUCCAAAGCACUGGCAUGAUCUCCAUCAUCACCGGCAUGACACCAUGAUCUCCAUCAUCGUGUUGCCAUCGGGGUUGUCACGCCAACUAUGCUUCUACUACUAUUGCUACCGCUUAGCGAUAAAGUAAAGCAUUACAUGUUGGGGAACACCGUAUUUCAAAAAAAAUCCUAUGAUCACGCAAGAUCUAUCUAGGGAUGCAUAGAAACGAGAGGGGAGAGUGUGUCUACGUACCCUCAUAGACCAAAAGCGGAAGCGUUAGGUAACGCGGUUGAUGCAUUCAAACUUCUUCGUGAUCUAACCGACCAAGUACCGAACGCAUGGCACCUCCACGAUCUGCACACGUUCAGCUCGGUGACGUCCCUCGAACUCUAGAUCCAGCUGAGACCGAGGGAGAGUUUCGUCAGCACGGCGGUGUGUUGACGGUGAUGAUGAAGUUACCGACGCAGGGCUUCUCCUAAGUACUACGACAAUAUGACCGAAGUGGAAAUCUGUGGAGGGGGGCACCGCACAUGGCUAGGAGAACAACUUCUGUGUCCAUGCGGUGCCCCCCUCCCUGUAUAUAAAGGAGGGGAGGAGGGGGCGGCCGACCUCAUGGUGCGCCCCCAAGGGGGGAUUCCUACUCCUACUAGGAGUAGGUUUCCCCCCUUUCCUAGUCCAACUAGGAGGGGGGAAGAGGAGAAGAAGGAAAGGGGGCCGGCCCCCCUCCCAAUUCGGAUUGGGCUUGGGGGGCACCCCACAUCUUAGCCGCCUCCUCUCUCUUCCACUAAAGCUCAUGUAGGCCCAUGAAGCCCCCGGGGAGUUCCGGUAACCCCCCGGUGCUCCGGUAUAUGCCCGAACCCAUCCAAAACCAUUCCGGUGUCCAAUCAUAACUUUCCAAUAUAUCCAUCUUCAUAUCUCGACCAUUUCGAGACUCCUCGUCAUGUCCAUGAUCACAUCCGGGACUCCGAACUACCUUCGGUACAUCAAAACACAUAAACUCAUAAUACCGAUCAUCAUCGAACGUUAAGUGUGCGGACCCUACGGGUUCGAGAACUAUGUAGACAUGACCAAGACAUGUCUCCGGUCAAUAACCAAUAGCGGAAACUGGAUGUUCAUAUUGGCUCCUACAUAUUCUACGAAGAUCUUUAUCGGUCAAACCGCAUAACGAUAUACGUUGUUCCCUUUGUCAUCGGUAUGUUACUUGCCCGAGAUUCGAUCGUCAGUAUAUCAAUACCUAGUUCAUUCUCAUUACCGACAAGUAUCUUUACUUGUUUUGUAAUUCUACAUCCCAUAACUAACUCAUUAAUUACAUUGCUUGCAAGGCUUAUAGUGAUGUGCAUUACCGAGAGGGCCCAGAGAUACCUCUCCGAUACUUGGAUUGACAAGUCCUAAUCUCGAUCUAUGCCAACUCAACAAACACCAUUGGAGACACCUGUAGAGCAUCUUUAUAGUCACCCAGUUACAUUGUGACGUUUGAUAGCACACUAAGUGUUCCUCCGGUAUUCGGGAGUUGCAUGAUCUCAUAGUCAUAGAAACAUGUAUAAGUUGUGGAGAAAGCAAUAGCAACAAACUAAACGAUCAUCGUGCUAAGCUAACGGAUGGGUCAAGUCAAUCACAUCAUUCUCUAAUGAUGUGAUCUCGUUAAUCAAAUGGCAACUCGUGUCUAUGUAUACUAGUCUAGUAGAGGAUUCCUUGUUAAUCAUAUAACCAUGAUUGAUUCAAUGAGCUAGUCUAGUAGAGGCAUACUAGUGACAUUAUGUUUGUCUAUGUAUUCACACAUGUACUAAGUUUCCGGUUUAAUACAAUUCUAGCAUGAAUAAUAGGCAUUUAUCAUGAUAUAAGGAAAUAUAAAUAACAACUUUAUUAUUGCCUCUAGGGCAUAUUUCCUUCAGUCUCCCACUUGCACUAGAGUCAAUAAUCUAGAUUACAUUGUAAUCAUUCUAACACCCAUGGAGUCUUGGUGCUGAUCAUGUUUUCCUCAUGAGAGAGGCUUAGUCAAUGGGUCUGCAAUAUUCAAAUCCGUAUGUAUCUUGGAAAUCUCUAUGUCUCCCUCCUUGACUUGAUCGUGGAUGGAAUUGAAGCGUCUCUUGAUGUGCUUGGUUCUCUUGUGAAAUCUGGAUUCCUUUGCCAAGGCAAUUGCACCAGUAUUGUCACAAAAGAUUUUUCAUUGGACCCGAUGCACUAGGUAUGACACCUAGAUCGGGUAUGAACUCCUUCAUCCUGACUCCUUCAUUUGCUGCUUUCGAAGCAGCUAUGUACUCCGCUUCACAUGUAGAUCCCGCCACGACGCUCGGCUUGGAACUGCACCAACUGACAGCUCCACCAUUUAGUAAAAACAUGUAUCCAGUUUGUGACUUAGAAUAGUCAUCCGGAUCAGUGUCAAAGCUUGCAUCGACGUAACCAUUUACAACGAGCUCUUUGUCACCUCCAUAUACGAGAAACAUAUCCUUAGUCCUUUUGAGGUAUUUCAGGAUAGUUCUUGACCGCUGUCUAGUGAUCCCCUCCUGGAUUACUUUGGUACCUCCCUGCUAACUAAUAGCAAGGCACACAUCAGGUUUGGUACAAAGCAUUGCAUACAUGAUAGAACCUAUGGCUGAAGCAUAGGGAAUGACUUUCAUUUUCUCUCUAUCUUCUGAAGUGGUCGGGCAUUGAGUCUGACUCAACUUCACACCUUGUAACACAGGCAAGAACCCUUUCUUUGCCUGAUCGAUUUUGAAAUUCUUCAAAAAUUUAUCAAGGUAUGUGCUUUGUGAAAGUCCAAUUAAGCGUCUUGAUAUAUCUCUAUAGAUCUUGAUGCCCAAUAUAUAAGCAGCUUCACCGAGGUCUUUCAUUGAAAAAUUCUUAUUCAAGUAUCCUUUUAUGCUAUUCAGAAAUUCAGUAUCAUUUCCGAUCAACAAUAUGUCAUCUACAUAGCUCCCACUCACUUUCUUGUAAAUACAGGCUUCUCCAAAAGUUUGUAUAAAACCAUAUGCUUUGAUCACACUAUCAAAGCGUAUAUUCCAACUCCGAGAGGCUUGCACCAGUCCAUAAAUGGAUCGCUGGAGCUUCCACACUUUGUUAGCACCUUUUGGAUCAACAAAACCUUCUGGUUGCAUCAUAUACAACUCUUCUUUAAGAUAUCCAUUAAGGAAUGCAGUUUUAACAUCCAUUUGCCAAAUUUCAUAAUCAUAAAAUGCGGUAAUUGCUAACAUGAUUCGGGCGGACUUAAGCAUCGCUACGGGUGAGAAGGUCUCAUCGUAGUCAACUCCUUGAACUUGUCGAAAACCUUUUGUAACAAGUCGAGCUUUGUAGACAGUAAUAUUACCAUCAGCGUCAGUCUUCUUCUUGAAUAUCGAUUUAUUCUCUAUGGCCUGCCGAUCAUUGGGCAAGUCAACCAAAGUCCACACUUUGUUCUCAUACAUGGAUCCCAUCUCAGAUUUCAUGGCCUCAAGCCAUUUUGCGGAAUCUGGGCUCAUCAUCGCUUCCUCAUAGUUCGUAGGUUCGUCAUGAUCAAGUAACAUGACCUCCAGAACAGGAUUACCGUACCACUCUGGUGCGGAUCUCACUCUGGUUGACCUAUGAGGUUCGGUAGUAACUUGAUCAGAAGUUUCAUGAUCAUUAUCAUUAGCUUCCUCACUUACUGGUGUAGGAAUCGCUGGAACUGUUUUCAGUGAUGAACUACUUUCCAAUAAUGGAGCAGGUACAAUUACCUCAUCAAGUUCUACUUUCCUCACACUCACUUCUUUUCAGAGAAACUCCUUCAAUAGAAAGGAUCCAUUCUUAGCAACGAAUAUCUUGCCUUCGGAUCUGUGAUAGAAGGUAUAUCCAACAGUCUCCUUUGGGUAUCCUAUGAAGACACAUUUCUCCUAUUUGGGUUCGAGCUUAUCAGGUUGAAGCUUCUUCACAUAAGCAUCGCAGCCCCAAACUUUAAGAAACGACAACUUGGGUUUCUUGCCAAACCACGGUUCAUAAGGUGUCAUCUCAAUGGAUUUAGAUGGUGCCCUAUUUAACGUGAAUGCAGCUGUCUCUAAAGCAUAACCCCAAAAUGAUAGCGGUAAAUCAGUAAGAGACAUCAUAGAUCGCACCAUAUCUAGUAAAGUACAAUUACGACGUUCGGACACACCAUUACACUGUGGUGUUCCGGGUGGCGUGAGUUGCGAAACUAUUCCGCAUUGUUUCAAAUGAAGACCAAACUCGUAACUCAAAUAUUCUCCUCCAUGAUCAGAUCGUAGGAACUUUUAUUUUCUUGUCAUGAUGAUUUUCCACUUCACUCUGAAAUUCUUUGAACUUUUCAAAUGUUUCAAACUUAUGUUUCAUUAAGUAGAUAUACCCAUAUCUGCUCAAAUCAUCUGUGAAGGUGAGAAAAUAACGAUAUCCGCCGUGAGCCUCAAUGUUCAUUGGACCACAUACAUCAAUAUGUAUGAUUUCCAAUAACUCUAUUGCUCGCUCCAUUGUUCCGGAGGAAGGAGUUUUAGUCAUCUUGCCCAUGAGGCAUGGUACGCAAGCACCAAGUGAUUCAUAAUCAAGUGAUUCCAGAAGUCCAUCAGAAUGGAGUUUCUUCAUGCGCUUUACACCAAUAUGACCCAAACGGUAGUGCCACAAAUAAAUUGCACUAUCAUUAUCAACUCUGCAUCUUUUGGCAUCAAUACUAUGAACAUGUGUAUCACUACUAUCAAGAUUUAGUAAAAAUAGACCAUUCAUAAAGGGUGCAUGACCAUAAAAUAUAUUACUCAUAUAAAUAGAACAACCAUUAUUCUCUAAUUUAAAUGAAUAACCGUCUUGCAUCAAACAAGAUCUAGAUAUCAUGUUCAUGCUCAACGCUGGCACCAAAUAACAAUUAUUUAGGUCUAAAACUAAUCCCGAAGGUAGAUGUAGAGGUAGCGUGCCGAUGGCGAUCACAUCGACUAUGGAACCAUUUCCCACGCGCAUCGUCACCUCGUCCUUAUCCAAUCUUCACUUAAUCUGUAGCCCCUGUUUCGAGUUGCAAAUAUUAGCAACAGAACCAGUAUCAAAUACCCAGGCACUACUACGAGCAUUAGUAAGGUACACAUCAAUAACAUGUAUAUCACAUAUACCUUUCACUUUGCCAUCCUUCUUCUCCGCCAAAUACUUGGGGCAGUUCCGCUUCUAGUGACCAGUCCCUUUGCAGUAGAAGCACUCAGUUUCAGGCUUAGGUCCAGACUUGGGCUUCUUCACUUGAGCAGCAAUUGGCUUGUUGUUCUUCUUGAAGUUCCCCUUCUUCCCUUUACCCUUUUUAUUGAAACUAGUGGUCUUGUUGACCAUCAACACUUGAUGCUCCUUCUUGAUUUCUACCUCCGCGGCCUUUAGCAUUGCGAAGAGCUUGGGAAUAGUCUUAUACAUCCCUUGCAUAUUAUAGUUCAUCACGAAGCUCUUGUAGCUUGGUGGCAGUGAUUAAAGAACUCUGUCAAUGACACUAUCAUCAGGAAGAUUAACUCCCAGCUGAGUCAAGUGGUUAUAGUACCCACACAUUCUGAGUAUAUGUUCACUGACAGAACUAUUCUCCUCCAUUUUGCAGCUGUAGAACUUAUUGGAGACUUCAUAUCUCUCAAUCCGGGCAUUUGCUUGAAAUAUUAACUUCAACUCCUGGAACAUCUCAUAUGCUCCAUGACGUUCAAAAUGUUGUUGAAGUCCCGGUUCUAAGCCGUAAAGCACGGCACACUGAACUAUCGAGUAGUCAUUAGCUUUGCUCUGGCAGGUGUUCACAACAUCUGGUGUUGCUCCUGCAGUGGGUUUGUCACCUAGUGGUGCUUCCAGGACAUAAUUCUUCUGUGCAGCAAUGAGGAUAAUCCUCAAGUUAUGGACCCAGUCCGUGUAGUUGCUACCAUCAUAUUUCAACUUAGCUUUCUCUAGGAAUGCAUUAAAAUUCAAUGGAACAACAACACGGGCCAUCUAUCUGCAACAACAUAGACAUGCAAAAUACUAUCAGGUACUAAGUUCAUGAUAAAUUAAAGUUCAAUUAAUCAAAUUACUUAAGAACUCCCACUUAGAUAGACAUCCCUCUAAUCAUCUAAGUGAUCACGUGAUCCAUAUCAACUAAGCCAUGUCCCUCAUCACGUGAGAUGGAGUAGUUUUCAAUGGUGAACAUCACUAUGUUGAUCAUAUCUACUAUAUGAUUCACACUCGACCUUUCGGUCUCUGUGUUCCGAGGCCAUAUCUGCAUAUGCUAGGCUCAUCAAGUUUAACCCGAGUAUUCCGCGUGUGCAAAACUAGCUUGCACCCUUUGUAUGUGAACGUAGAGCUUAUCACACCCGAUCAUCACGUGGUGUCUCGACACGACGAACUGUAUCAACGGUGCAUACUCAGGGAGAACACUUGUACUUGAAAUUUAGUGAGAGAUCAUCUACUAAUGCUACUGCCGAACUAAGCAAAAUAAGAUGCAUAAAGGAUAAACAUCACAUGCAAUCAAUAUAAGUGAUAUGAUAUGGCCAUCAUUAUCCUGUGCCUUUGAUCUCCAUAUCCAAAGCACCGUCAUGAUCACCAUCGUCACCGGCUUGACACCUUGAUCUCCAUCGAAGCAUUGUUGUCGUCUCGCCAACUAUUGCUUCUACGACUAUCGCUACCGCUUAGUGAUAAAGUAAAGCAAUUACAUGUCGAUUGCAUUUCAUACAAUAAAGCGACAACCAUAUGGCUCCUGCCAGUUGCCGAUAACUGUGUUACAAAACAUGAUCAUAUCAUACUAUAAAAUUUAGCAUCAUGUCUUGACCAUAUCACAUCACAACAUGCCCUACAAAAACAAGUUAGACGUCCUCUACUUUGUUGUUGCAAGUUUUAUGUGGCUGCUACGGGUUGAGCAAGAACCGUUCUUACCUACGCAUCAAACACCACAACGCGGUAUAGUGAUUGCUUUUUGAUCUUCAGAAAGAACCAUGUUCAUUGAAUCCGAUUCAACUAAAGUUGGAGAAACUGACACCCACCAGCCACCUGUGUGUGAAGCACGUCGGUAGAACCAGUCUCGCGUAAGCGUGCGCGUAAUGACGGUUUGAGCCGCUUUAUCCAACAAUACCGUCGGUAGAACUAGUGACGGAAAGCAAUAUGUAUAUACCCACGCCCACAACUCCUUUGUGUUCUACUCGUGCAUAUAACAUCUACGCAUAGACCUGGCUCGGAUGCCACUGUUGGGGAACGCAGUAAUUUCAAAAAAAAUCCUACGCACACGCAAGAUCUAUCAUGGUGAUGCAUAGCAACGAGAGGGGAAGAGUGUUGUCCACAUACCCUCGUAGACCGUAAGCGGAAGCGUUAUGACAACGCGGUUGAUGUAGUCGUACGUCUUCAUGAUCCGACCGACCCUAGUACUGAAAGUACGGCACCUCCGCGAUCUGCACACGUUCGGCUCGGUGACGUCCCAAAAACUCUCGAUCCAGCUGAGUGUCGAGGGAGAGCUUCGUCAGCACGAGGCGUGAUGCUGGUGAUGAUGAAGCUACCGGCGCAGGGCUUCGCCUAAGCACUACGACGAUAUGACCGAGGUGGAUUAUGGUGGAGGGGGGCACCGCACAUGGCUAAGAGAUCAAUGAUCAACUUGUAUGUCCUAGGGUGCCCCCUGCCCCGUAUAUAAAGGAGCAAGGGGGGAGGCCGGCCGGCCCUUGUGACGCGCCUGGAGAGGAGGAGUAGGACUCCCCUUUCCUAAUCCUACUAGGAGGGGGAAGGAAGGAGGAGAAGGGAGAAGGAAAGGGGGCGUCGCCCCCCCCCCCCUUCCCUAGUCCAAUUCAGACUAGAGGGGGAGCGCACGCGGCCCUACCUUGGCCGGCCCUCUCUCUCUCCACUAAGGCCCAUGUGGCCCAUUAGUUCCCCGGGGGGGUCCAGUAACCCUCCGACACUCCGUUUUUCUCCGAAAUCACCCGAAACACUUCCGGUGUCCGAAUAUAGCCGUCCAAUAUAUCAAUCUUUAUGUCUCGACCAUUUUGAGACUCCUCGACAUGUCCAUGAUCAUAUCCGGGACUUCAAACUACCUUCAGUGCAUCAAAACACAUAAACUCAUAAUAUCAAUCGUCACCGAAUGUUAAGCGUGUGGAACCUACGGGUUCGAGAACUAUGUAGACAUGACCGAGACAUGUCUCCGGUAAAUAACCAAUAGCGGAACCUGGAUGUUCAUAUUGGCUCCUACAUAUUCUAUGAAGAUCUUUAUCGGUCAAACCGCAUAACAAUAUACGUUGUUCCCUUUGUCAUCGGUAUGUUACUUGCCCGAGAUUCGAUCGUCGAUAUAUCAAUACCUAGUUCAAUCUCGUUACUGGCAAGUCUCUUUACUCGUCUGUAAUGCUACAUCCCGUAACUAACUCAUUAGUUACAUUGCUUGCAAUGCUUAUAGUGAUGUGCAUUGCCGAGAGGGCCCAGAGAUACCUCUCCGAUACUUGGAGUGAAAAAUCCUAAUCUCGAUCUAUGCCAACUCAACAAACACCACCGGAGACACCUGUAGAGCAUCUUUAUAGUCACCCAGUUACUUUGUGACGUUUGAUAGCACACUAAGUGUUCCUCCGGUAUCCGGGAGUUGCAUGAUCUCAUAGUCAUAGGAACAGGUAUAAGUUAUGGAGAAAGCAAUAGCAACAAACUAAACGAUCAUCGUGCUAAGCUAAUGGAUGGGUCAAGUCAAUCACACCAUUCUCUAAUGAUGUGGUCUCGUUAAUCAAAUGACAACUCAUGUCUAUGGUUAGGAAACAUAACCAUCAUUGAUUCAACGAGCUAGUCUAGUAGAGGCAUACUAGUGGCAUUCUGUUUGUCUAUGUAUUCACACAUGUACUAAGUUUCCGGUUUAAUACAAUUCUAGCAUGAAUAAUAAACAUUUAUCAUGAUAUAAGGAAAUAUAAAUAACAACUUUAUUAUUGCCUCUAGGGCAUAUUUCCUUCAUGUUCAUGCUCAACACAUGCACUAAAAAAAUUAUUCAGGUUCAUCACUAAUCCUGAUGGUAAUCGAAGAGCGAGCGUGCCGACGGUGAUCACAUCAACCUUGGAACCAUUUCCCACGCACAUCGUCACUUCGUCCUUUGCCAGUCUCCGUCUAUUCCGUAAUUCUUGCUUUGAGUUGCAAAUGUGAGCAACCGAACUGGUAUCAAAUACCCAGGCACUACAACGAGAGUUGGUAAGGUACACAUCAAUAACAUGUGUAACAUAUACACCUUUGUUGGCGUUGGCCCCCUUCUUGUCGGCCAAAUACUUGGGGCAGUUCCGCUUCCAGUGGCCAGUUCCCUUGCAAUAGAAGCGCUCAAUCUCCGGCUUGGGUCCAGCCUUGGGUUUCUUCACGGGAGGAGCAACUGCUUUGCCACCUUUCUUGAAGUUUCCCUUCUUUCCCUUGCCUUUCUUGAAACGUGUGGUUUUAUUCACCAUCAACACUUGAUGCUCGUUCUGGAUGUCGAACUCAAUGACUUUUAACAUCGUGAACAGCUCAGAGACUAACUUGUUCAUCCCUUGCAUGUUAUAGCUCAACACAAAGCCCUUGUAGCUAGGCGGUAGUGAUUGAAGAACUCUGUCAGUGACAGCCUCUAGCGGGAGCUCAAGUCCUAACUCAGCCAAACGGUUGUAGUCCCCAGACAUUCUGACUAUGUGCUCACAGGCAGACCUGUUCUCCUCCAUCUUGCAGGCAUAGAACUUAUCGGAGGUCUCAUACCUCUUGAUCCAGACAUUCUUCUCAAAGAUAAACUUCAACUCCUGGAACAUCUCAUAUGCUCCAUGACGUUCAAAACGCCUUUGAAGUCCCGGCUCUAAGUCAUACAACAUGGCGCACUAAACUAUUGAGUAGUCAUUGAUAUGUCUCCAACGCAUCUAUAAUUUUUUAUUGUUCCAUGCUAUUAUAUUAUCAAUCAUGGAUGUUUUAUAUGCAUGUAUAUGCUAUUUUAUAUGAUUUUUGGGACUAACCUAUUAACCUAGAGCCCAGUGCCAGUUUCUGUUUUUUCCUUGUUUUUCAGUUUUACAGAAAAGGAAUACCAAACGGAGUCCAAUUGAAGUGCCAAUUUUUGAUGAUUUUUUAUGGACCAAAAGAAGCCCCCAGAGUAAAAUAGUUGGGCCAGAAGAGUCCUGAGCCGUCCACGAGAUAGGAGGGUGAGCCCAGGGGGUAGGGCGCUCCCUCCACCCUCGUGGAUGACUCGGAGACCCCCUGGUGUGAGACCGAUGCCAAAAAUUCCUAUAAAUAGAGAAACCUCCAGAAAGUAACCUAGAUCGACAGUUCCGCCGCCGCAAGCCUCUGUAGCCACCGAAAACCAAUAUAGACCCGUUCUGGCACCCUGCCGGAGGGGGGAAUCCCUCUCCGGUGGCCAUCUUCAUUAUCCCGGCGCUCUCCAUGACGAGGUGGGAGUAGUUCACCCUGGGGGUGAGGGUAUGUACCAGUAACUAUGUGUUUGAUCUCUCUCUCUCUCGUGUUCUUGAUUCGGCACGAUCUUGAUGUAUCGCGAGCUUUGCUAUUAUAGUUGGAUCUUAUGAUGUUUAUCCCCCUCUACUCUCUUGUAAUGGAUUGAGUUUUCCCUUUGAAUUUAUCUUAUCUAAUUGAGUCUUUAAGGAUUUGAGAACACUUGAUGUAUGUCUUGCAUGUGCUUAUCUGUGGUGACAAUGGGAUAUUCAUGUGAUCCACUUGAUGUAUGUUUUGGUGAGCAACUUGCGAGUUCCGUGACCUCGUGAACUUAUGCAUAGGGGUUGGCACACAUUUUCUUCUUAACUCUCCAUAAGAGAUACUCCAAUGUUGGUUGAAUAAAUGAAUCUGAGAUUGUGUGAUGCAUAUCAUAUAAUCAUACCCACAGAUACUCGAGGUGACAUUGGAGUAUCUAGGUGACAUUAGGGUUUUGGUUGAUUUGUGUCUUAAGGUGUUAUUCUAGUAUGAACUCUAGGAUAGAUUGAACGGAAAGAAUGGCUUCGUGUUAUUUUACUACGGACUCUUGUAUAGAUCAAUCAGAAAGGAUAAAUUUGAGGUGGUUUCGUACCCUACAAUAAUCUCUUCAUUUGUUCUCCUCUAUUAGUGACUUUGGAGUGACUCUUUGUUGCAUGUUGAGGGAUUGUUAUAUGAUCCAAUUAUGUUAUUAUUGUUGAGAGAACUUGCACUAGUGAAAGUAUGAACCCUAGGCCUUGUUUCAACGCAUUGCAAUACCAUUUGUGCUCACUUUUAUCAUUUGUUACCUUGCUGUUUUUAUAUUUUCAGAUUACAAAAACCUAUAUCUAUCAUCCAUAUUGCACUUGUAUCACCAUCUCUUUUCCGAACUAGUGUACCUAUACAAUUUACCAUUGUAUUGGGUGUGUUGGGGACACAAGAGACUCUUUGUUAUUUGGUUGCAGGGUUGCUCGAGAGAGACCAUCUUCAUCCUACGCCUCCCACGGAUUGAUAAACCUUAGGUCAUCCACUUGAGGGAAAUUUGCUACUGUCCUACAAACCUCUACACUUGGAGGCCCAACAACGUCUACAAGAAGAAGGUUGUGUAGUAGACAUCAAGCUCUUUUCUGGCGCCGUUGCCAGGGAGGUUAGCGCUUGAAGGUAUAUCUUUAGAUCUUGCAACUGAAUCUUUUAGUUUCUUGUUUUAUCACUAGUUUAGUCUAUAAAAGAAAACAAAAAAAUGGAAUUGAGGGUACCUCAUAUGCUUCAUCUUUUUAAUGUCUUUCAUGAAAAUGAGGAUUCUGAUAUGUGCCAAAGUGUUAGAAGAAGAAUGUAUUAAAAUGUUUGGCACUAAAUCUUUGGAUGAUGAGCAUGAUUGCAAUGUUGUUAGUAUGAAUUCUUUGAAUAUCCAUGAUGCUAAUGAUAUGCAAAGCCACAAGCUUGUGGAUGCUAUGUUUGAUGAAAAUGAUAUUUUUUGUCCCCCAAGUUUUGAUGAGCAAAUUUAUUUUGAUGAUAGCAUGCCUCCUAUUUAUGAUGAUUAUAUUGAUGAAAGUGGGUUUGGAAGAGUGUCAACUUAAGGAAGUAACAAUCCCACUAUUUUGGAGGGUGUUGAAUCUUAUUGUGAUAAUUAUGAAAGUGGGUCAGGAGAGGUCAUGACUUUAUUUAAUGUUAAUCCCACUAUUUUGGAAGAGUGUCAACUUUGCAUACAUGUCGAUCGUGUUAAGAAUAUGUUUUAUGAUAGCUAUAUUGUUGAAUUUGCUUAUGAUCCUACAUGUAAUUAUUAUGAGGGAGUAACAUAUGCUGGUAGGAAUUGCAAUAAUAUCAAGUUUCCUCUCUAUGUGUUGAAAAUCUUGAAGUUAUCCUUGUUUUACCCUCCUAUGCAAGUUGAUUCUUGUCCCCACAAGUUGUUUGCUCACAAAAUCCCUAUGCAUAGGAAUUGGGUUAGACUUAAAUGUGUUUGUCAUAUUCUUCAUGAUGCUCUCUUUAUUUUUCAAUUUUUAUCUUUUAUGUGAGCAUGAUUGAAAUCAUCAUGCCUAGCUAGGGGCGUUAAAUGAUAGCGCUUGUUGGGAGGCAACCCAAUUUUAUUUUUGUUUCUUGCUUUUUGUUCCUGUUUAGUAAUAAAUAAAUCAUCUAUCCUCUGUUAUGAUUGUGUUUUUUAUGUUUUGAUUAGUGUUUGUGCCAAGUAAAGCCUUUAGGAUCUUCUUGGGUGAUUGUUAUUUGAUCUUGCUGUAAAAAACAGAAAGUAUGCUCUCACGAGAAUAUUUUUUAUUUUUACCAGAGAGCGAUAAAAUACCAAUUCCAAUUGCAGUAGAUUAAUAAACAAAUUUCCUAGGAUAUACUAAUUUCUCAGGAUUUUUGGAGUUACAGAAGUAUUCGAAAUCUACAGAUUACUACAAACUGUUAUGUUUUUGACAGAUUCUGUUUUCUAUGUGUUGUUUGCUUAUUUUGAUGAAUCUAUGUGUUGUAUCAGAGGGUAUGAACCAUAGAGAAGUUGGAAUACAGUAGAUAUUACACAAAUAUAAAUAAAUAAUUGGUUCAUUACAGUACCUUGAAGUGGUGGUUUGUUUUCUUAUACUAACGGAGCUCAUGAGAUUUUCUGUUGAGUUUUGUGUUGUGAAGUUUUCAAGUUUUGGGUAAAGAUUUGAUGGAUUUUGGAAUAAGGAGUGACAAGAGCCUAAGCUUGGGGAUUCCCAAGGCACCCCAAGGUAAAAUUCAAGGACAACCAAAAGCCUAAGCUUGGGGAUGCCCCGGAAGGCAUCCCCUCUUUCGUCUUCAUUCAUCGGUAACUUUACUUGAGGCUAUAUUUUUAUUCACCACAUGAGAUGUGUUUUGCUUGGAGUGUCAUUUUAUUUUAUUUUGUUUUGCUUGCUGUUUGAAUAAUAUACCAAGAUCUGAAAUUCUUAAAUAUUAGAGAGUCUUCACAUAGUUGCAUAAUUAUUCGACUACUCAUUGAUCUUCACUUAUAUCUUUCGGAGUAGUUUGUCAUUUGCUCUAGUGCUUCACUUAUAUCCUUUUAGAGCACGGCGGUGGUUUUAUUUUGAAGAAAUAGAUGAACUCUCAUGCUUCACUUAUAUUAUUUUGAGAGUCUUUAGAACAGCAUGGUAAUUUUCUUAGGUUAUAAAAUUAGUCCUACUAUGAUGGGCAUCCAUGCUGGGCAUAAUAAAAACUUUCAUAUAAAGUGCAUUGAAUACCAUGAGAAAUUUGAUGCUUGAUGAUUGUUUUGAGACAUGAGGAUGGUGAUAUUAGAGUCAUGCUAGUUAAGUAGUUGUGAAUUUGAGAGAUACUUGUGUUGAGGUUUGCAAGUCCCGUAGCAUGCACGUAUGGUAAUCAUUCUGUGACAAAUUUGAAGCAUGAGGUGUUUCUUUGAUUGUCUUCCUUGUGAGUGGCGGUCGGGGACGAGCGAUGGUCUUUUCCUGCCAAUCUACCCCCCCCCCCUAGGAGCAUGCGCGUAAUGCUUGGUUUUUGAUGACUUGUAGAUUUUUGCAAUAAGUAUGUGAGUUCUUUAUGACUAAUGUUGAGUCCAUGGAUUAUACACACUCUCACCUUUCCAUCAUUUCUAGCCUCUUCGGUACCGUGCAUUGCCCUUUCUCACCUCGAGAGUUGGUACAAACUUCACCGGUGCAUCCAAAACCCAUGAUAUGAUACGCUCUAUCACACAUAAGCCUCUUUAUAUCUUCCUCAAAACAGCCACCAUACCUACCUAUUAUGACAUUUCCAUAGCCAUUCCGAGAUAUAUUGACAUGCAACUUUCCACCGUUUCAUUUAUUAUGACACGCUUCAUCAUUGUCAUAUUUCCUUGCAUGAUCAUGUAGUUGACAUCGUAUUUGUGGCAAAGCCACCAUGCAUAAUUUAUCAUACAUGUCACUCUUGAUUCAUUGCCCUUCCCGGUACACCGCCGGAGGCAUUCAUAUAGAGUCAUAUUUUGUUCUAGUAUCGAGUUGUAAUCAUUCAGUUGUAAAUAAAUAGAAGUGUGAUGAUCAUCAUUCAUAGAGCAUUGUCCCAAAUAAAAAAAGAGAAAGGCCAAAUAAAAAAAGGACCAAAAAGGAAAAGGAAAAAAGAGAAAUAAAAAGGGGCAAUGCUACUAUCCUUUUACCACACUUGUGCUUCAAAGUAGCACCAUGAUCUUUAUGAUAGAGAGUCUCUCAUUUUGUCACUUUCAUAUACUAGUGGGAAUUUUUCAUUAUAGAUCUUGGUUUGUAUAUUCCAAAUAUGGGCUUCCUCAAAUGCCCUAGGUCUUCGUGAGCAAGCAAGUUGGAUGCACACCCACUUAGUUUUUUUUUGUUGAGCUUUCAUACAUUUAUAGAUCUAGUGCAAUCAUUGCAUGGAAAUCCCUACUCCCCGCAUUGACAUCAAUUGAUGGGCACCUCCAUAGCCCGUUGAUUAGCCACGUCAAUGUGAGACUUUCUCCUUUUUUGUCUUCUUCACACAACCUCCAUCAUCAUAUUCUAUACCACCCAUAGUGCUAUGUCCAUGGCUCGCACUCAUGUAUUGCGUGAAAGUUGAAAAAGUUUGAGAAUACUAAAGUAUGAAACAAUUGCUUGGUUUGUCAUCGGGGUUGUGCAUGAUAGGAGCAUUUUGUGUGAUGAAAAUGAAGCAUGGCCAAACUAUAUGAUUUUGUAGGGAUGAGCUUUCUUUGGCUAUGUUAUUUUGAGAAGUCAUAAUUGCUUGGUUAGUAUGCUUGAAGUAUUAUUGUUUUUAUGUCAAUAUUAAACUUUUGUCUUGAAUAUUAUGGAUCUGAAUAUUCUUGCCACAAUAAAGUAAAUUACAUUUAUAAAUAUGUUAGGUAGCAUUCCACAUCAAAAAUUCUAUUUUUAUCAUUUACCUACUCGAGGACGAGCAGGAAUUAAGGUUGGGGAUGCUUGAUACGUCUCCAAUGUAUCAAUAAUUUUUUAUUGUUCCAUGCUAUUAUAUUAUCAAUUGUGGAUGUUUUAUAUGCAUUUAUAUGCUAUUUUAUAUGAUUUUUGGGGACUAACCUAUUAACAUAGAGCCCAGUGCCAGUUUCUGUUUUUCCUUGUUUUUGAGUUUUACACAAAAGGAAUACCAAACGGAGUCCAAUUGAUGUGCCAAUUUUUGAUGAUUUUUUAUGGACCAAAAGAAGCCCCCGGAGUAAAAUAGUUGGGCUAGAAGAGUCCCGAGCCAUCCACAAGAUUGGAGGGCGAGCCCAGGGGGUAGGGCGCGCCCUCCACCCUCGUGGAUGACUCGGGGACCCCCCUGGCGUGAGACCGACGCCAAAAAUUCAUAUAAAUACAGAAACCUCCAGAAAAUAACCUAGAUCGGGAGUUCUGCCGCCGCAAGCCUCCGUAGCCACCGAAAACCAAUCUAGACCCGUUCCGGCACCUUGUCGGAGGGGGGGAAUCCUUCUCUGGUGGCCAUCUUCAUCAUCCUGGCACUCUCCAUGACGAGGAGGGAGUAGUUCACCCUCGGGGCUAAGGGUAUGUACCAGUAGCUAUGUGUUUGAUCUCUCUCUCUCUCUCUCGUGUUCUUGAUUCCACACGAUCUUGAUGUAUCAUGAGCUUUGCUAUUAUAGUUGGAUCUUAUGAUGCUUCUCCCCCUCUACUCUCUUGUAAUGGAUUGAGUUUUCCCUUUGAAUUUAUCUUAUCCGAUUGAGUCUUUAAGGAUUUGAGAACACUUGAUGUAUGUCUUGCAUGUGCUUAUCUGUGGUGACAAUGGGAUAUUCACGUGAUCCACUUGAUGUAUGUUUUGGUGAUCAACUUGCGAGUUCCCUGACCUCGUGAACUUAUGCAUAGAGGUUGGCACACAUUUUCGUCUUGACUCUCCGGUAGAACUUUGGGGCACUCUUUGAAGUUCUUUGUGUUGGUUGAAUAGAUGAAUUUGAGAUUGUGUGAUGCAUAUCGUAUAAUCAUACCCACGGAUACUCGAGGUGACAUUGGAGUAUCUAGGUGACAUUAGGGUUUUGGUUGAUUUGUGUCUUAAGGUGUUAUUCUAGUAUGAACUCUAGGAUAGAUUGAACGGAAGGAAUAGCUUCAUGUUAUUUUACUACGGACUCUUGAAUAGAUCGAUCAGAAAGGAUAAAUUUGAGGUGGUUUCGUACCCUACAAUAAUCUCUUCAUUUUUUCUCCUCUAUUAGUGACUUUGAAGUGACUCUUUGUUGCAUGUUGAGGGAUUGCUAUAUGAUCCAAUUAUGUUAUUAUUGUUGAGAGAAUUUGCACUAGUGAAAGUAUGAACCCUAGGCCUUGUUUCAACGCAUUGCAAUACCGUUUGUGCUCACUUUCAUCAUUAGUUACCUUGCUGUUUUUAUAUUUUCAGAUUACAAAAACCUAUAUCUAUCAUCCAUAUUGCACUUGUAUCACCAUCUCUUUGCCGAACUAGUGUACCUAUACAAUUUACCAUUGUAUUGGCUGUGUUGGGGACACAAGAGACUCUUUGUUAUUUGGUUGCAGGGUUGCUUGAGAGAGACCAUCUUCAUCCUACGCCUCCCAGGGAUUGAUAAACCUUAGGUCAUCCACUUGAGGGAAAUUUUCUACUGUCCUAAAACCUCUGCACUUGGAGGCCCAACAACGUCUACAACAAGAAGGUUGUGUAGUAGACAUCAGUCAUCAACACGCGACUGCCAGGCAUUCACAACGUCCACAAUCGCCAGAGGGGGUGGCGCACCAAGCGGUGCAUCAAGGACAUAAGCCUUUUGGGCAACCGUGAGGAUAAUCCUCAGAUUACAGGCCCAGUCCACAAAGUUACUUCCUUCAUCUUUCAGCUUAGCUUUCUCUAGGAACGCAUUAAAAUUCAGGGGAGCUACUGCACAAGCCAUUGAUCUACAACAUAGAUUUGCAAAGAUAACUUAGACUACUGUUCAUGGUAAAUGAGUUCAAUUAAUCAUAUUACCUAAGAACUCCCACUCAAAUCAACAUCCCUCCGGUUGUCCGAGUGUAACAUGAUCCAAAUUCACCAACCCAAGUCCAAUCAUCACAUGAGAUGAGAUGGUUUCAAUGGUGAACAUCUCCAUGUUGAUCAUAUCAACUAUAUGACUUAUGUUUGACCUUUUGGUCUCUUGUGUUCCUAGGCCAUGUCUGUACAUGCUAGGCUCGUCAAGUUCAACCCAAGUGUCCCGCAUGUGCAACACUGGCUUGUACCCGUUGUAUGUGAACGUAGAGUCUAUCACACCCGAUCAUCACAUGGUGCUUCAAAACGACAAACUUUCGCAACGGUGCACACUUGGGGAGAAUACAAUUUUAUCUUGAAAUUUUAGUGAGGGAUCACCUUAUAAUGCUAUCAUCGUCCGAAGCAAAAUAAGAUGCAUAAAAGGAUUAACAUCACAUGCAAUUCAUAAGUGACAUGAUAUGGCUAUCAACUUGUGCUUUUGAUCUCCAUCUCCAAAGCAUCGACAUGAUAUCCAUCGUCACCGGCAUGACACCAUGAUCUCCAUCAUCGUGUUGCCAUCGGGGUUGUCACGCCAACUAUGCUUCUACUACUAUUGCUACCGCUUAGCGAUAAAGUAAAGAAUUACAUAGCGCUUAAUGAUUGACAUGCAGGUCAUACAAUAAUUAAAGACAACCCUAUGGCUCCUGUCGGUUGCCGUAUGCAUCGACAUGCAAGUCUAUAUAUACUAUUACAAACAUGAUCAUCUCAUACAUACAAUAUAUUUCAUCAUGUCAUUGGCCAUAUCAUAUCACAACAUACCCUGCAAAAACAAGUUAGACGUCCUCUAAUUGUUGUUGCAUGUGUCACGUGGCUGCUAUGGGUAUCUAGCAAGAACGAUUCUUACCUAUGCAAAGCCAAAAUGGUGAUAUGCAAGUUGCUAUUUAACCUUCUACAAGGACCACCUUUGUCGAAUCCGAUUCAACUAAGGUGGGAGAGACAGACACCCGCCAACCAUCUUUAUGCAACAAAGUCACAUUUCUAUCGAUGGAACCAGUCUCAUGUACGUGGACAUGUAAACUUGGUCCGGGCGGCUUCAUUCCACAAUACCGCCGGAUCAAGAAAAUACCAAGGAAGGAAGCAAUCUGAAUAUCAAUGCCCACAAACUCCUUUGUGUUCUACUCGUGAUGUCAUCUACGCAUAGACCUAGCUCAUGAUGCCAGGGGAAUGUUGCAUGGGAAACAAAAAAUUUCCUAUGCUCACCAAGAUCAAUCUAGGAGAUGGACAUCUACAAGAGGAAAGAUUGCAUCUACAUACCCUUGUAGAUCGCUAAGCGGAGGUGUUAAGAAACGCGGUUGAUGUGGUCCAAUGUCUUCAUGAUCCAAUCACGAUCCGUCCCGCGAACUCCCAAUCUAGCACCGAACAAACAGCACCUCCGCGUUCAACACACGUACGGCUUGAUGACUCCUUCACCUCCUUGAUACAGUGAGCGAUGGUGAAGUAGUAGCUCAAGUCCUCCGACAACAGGACGGCGUGGUGGCGGCGGUGGUGGUGGAAUCUUGGCAGAGCUUCGCUAAGCACUAUGGAGAAGAAGAGGGCUGCGAGGGAGAGGAAGGGCAGCGUCGUGGCAUAGAUGGGUGCAGCUGCCCUCUCUCUACCUCUCUAUAUAUAGGGGAAGGGGGAGAGGGGGCGCCCCUAGGGGAUCUCAUCUAGGGCCGGCAGCCACAAGAGGGAAACCCUAGAUGGGUUUUCCCCCUUAGGAGACUUGGCCCCCAAGCCAAAGUGGUGGGAAGCCCUAGGGGGCGCCCCCAACCCUCCUGGUUACGUGAGAUGGGGUGAGGGGGUGCUCAGCCCCUUAGGCUUUGUUUGGUGGCUACGAGGAGACAACCCAGGGCAGUAAACCCCGCCAGGGAAAUUUCAACAGCACAUGGGCUUCCACGGGGGAGUUCUCCUGCUUUGGAUGACCAUUUGGUCGUCCAAUCGGGAGGGUGGGGUGGGGUGUGGUCCAGGUGAGGGGAGCCACAGCUUUGCGAGGAUGAGCUGUGAGUAGCAGCUUCGCGAGGGAGAUGAAAUGGGGAGAUUUUCCACGAGUGCAGAGGCGUGGAACUUCUACCCCGGGAAAGAGGAGGGUUCGGGCCGGCCCGCCCCGUGGAUCGGGUAAUCCAAAUGUGGUGCUGGUUCUCCCUAGACAGAGAUUCCACGUGGCUUUCAGGCCCAGGAAAAAGGUAGGGAUCCCCGGGGGAAACCCUGCAACCAAAUGAGCCCUUAGUGGGCUAGUUUGCCCCCUCCCCUUGGCCCAUGGGGCCCCCUGAAACCCCUUUCGGUGACACUAGUCAUCACCUGGUACCCCCAGAACAAUUCCGGACUCCAAUACCCUUCGUCCAAUAUAUCAAUCUUCACCUCCGGACCAUUCCCGAGUUCCUCGUCACGUCUGGGAUCUCAUCCGGGACUCCGAACAACCUUCGGUAACCACCAUAAUGACUCAACUAUACUUAUAUCGUCACCAAACGUUAAGUGUGUAGACCCCGCGGGUUCGAGAACUAUGUAGACAUGACUGAGACACCUCUACGGUCAAUAACCAAUAGCGAGACCUGGAUGCCCAUAUUGGUUCCUACACAUUCUACAAAGAUUUUAUCGGUCGAACCUUGAUGUCAAGGAUUCAACUAAUCCCAUAUGUAGUUCCUUUUUUCUAUCGGUAUGUUACUUGCCUGAGAUUCGAUCGUCGGUAUCUCCAUACCUAGUUCAAUCUCGUUACCGGCAAGUCUCUUUACUCGUUCCGUAAUACAAGAUCCCGUGACUAACUCAUUGGUCACAUUGCUUGCAAGCUCAUUGUGAUGUUGUAUUACCGAGUGGCCUCUGAGAUACCUCUCCGUCAUACGGAGUGACAAAUCCCAGCCUUGAUCCAUGCCAACUCAACAGACACCCUUGAAGAUACCUAUAGAGCACCUUUGUAGUCAGCCAGUUAAGUUGCGAUGUUUGGUACACACAAGGUACUCCUCCGGUGUCAGUGAGUUGCAUGAUCUCAUGAUCAUAGGAACAUAUACUUGACAUGCAGAAAACAAUAGCAAUAAACUUGACACAGUCAUAUGCUACGUUUAUAGUUUGUGUCUUGUCCAUCACACCAUUCUCCUAAUGAUGUGAUCCCGUUAUCAAAUGACAACUCAUGUCCAUGGCUAGGAAACCAUAGCCAUCUUUGAUCAAUGAGCUAGUCCGGUAGAGGCUUACUAGGGACACGUUGUUGUCUAUCUAUCCACACAUGUAUUUGAGUUUCUGGUCAAUACAAUUAUAGAGUGGAUAAUAAACGAUUAUCAUGAACAAGGAAAUAUAACAAUAACCAUUUUAUUAUUGCCUCUAGGGCAUAUUUCUAACAUAUUCUAACUAAAGCAUAAUUACUCAUCAACAUGACUCACAUAUUAUAUCAUCAUAUCGGAAAACUAUUACAAGGAACCAUGUUUAUUUUGUCUGAUGAUCUUCAUGAAUUUUUUUAUUAUAUCCCUCUUGAAUAUCUAUCAUUUUGGGACUAAUUUCAUAUGUUUCUUUUGAUAGCUCAAACAAAUCUAAGUGAAGAACAUGAGCAUAAAAAAUUUCUUCUCUCAAAAUAAUUUAAGUGAAGCAUGAGAACAUUUCUAAAAAAAUUACUAACUCUCAAAUAAAUCUAAGUGAAGCAUGAGAGCAUUUCUUUAAUAAUAAUAAAGCACACCAUGCUCAAAAAGAUAUAAGUGAAGUACUAGAGCAAUUCCAUGGCUCAAAAAGAUUUAAGUGAAGCAUAGAGAGCAAUUCUAACAAAUCAUAGCAUAAUUUUGGCUCUCUCAAAUAGGUUUGUCCAGCAAGGAUAGAUGACUUAAAAUAAAAAGCAAAACAAGCAAAUACUCAUAUCAUACAAGACGCUCCAAGCAAAACUCAUGAUACGUGAUGAAUAAAAAUAUAGCUCCAAGUAAAAUACCGAUGGUCGUUAGAAGAAAGAUGGGAUGCCACUCGUGCAUGCUCAAGCUUAGUUGAUUGCUUCUCUUUUAGAUAAUAGCUUGGGAUGCCAUGGGGCAUCCCCAAGCUUAGGCUCUUCUUACUCCUUAUUCCUUCAUCAUCGUGAUCUCACGCAAAACUUGAAAACUUUAAUCACACAAAACUCAACAAACCUUCGUGAGAUCCGUUAGUAUAACAAAGCAAAUCACUACUAUAAGUAUUGUAGCAAACCCAUUCAUAUUUUAUUCUUGCAUUACAUCUACAGUAUUCCAACUUUGCUAUAGCUUAUACCCUCCAAUACAAACCAUAGAUUCAUUGAAAUAAGCACAUAGUGCAAAGAAACAGAGUCUAACAAAAACAGAACAGUCUGCGGUAAUCUGAAAACUUUGAAUACUUCUGUAACUCCAACAAUUCUGAAAUAUUAGGAAACAUGGGCAAUUUGUAUAUCAAUCUUGUGUUCAAAAAUCAGGAUUUUAUCACGCUUCUAUUAAAAUGAUUUUUUUACUGGAUGCAAAAGUUUUUGUUUUUGAACAAGAUCAAAUCAACUAUCACCCAACAUGAUCCCAAAGUCUUUGCUUGGCACAAACACUAAUUAAAACAUGAAAAACACAAUCAUAACGGUAGCAUAAUUGUGCAAACACUCAAGAAUAAAAAUAAAAAGAAAAAAAUAAAUUUUAUUCAUUGGGUUGCCUCCCAACAAGCGUUAUCGUUUUAUGCCCCUAACUAGGCAUAAGAUUUCAAUGAUGCUCACAUAAAAGACAAGAAUUGAAGUACAAAGAGAGCAUUACGAUACAUGUUACAAACACAUUUAGGUCUAACAUACUUCCUAUGCAUAGGAAUUUUAUAAGCAAACAAAUUAUCAAGACAAGAAACAUCUAACACAUGCAAAAAAAGGGGAAUAAAACAUUGAUGAUCUCAACAUAAUGAGAGAUAUUUUAGUAACAUGAAAAUUUCUACAACCAUAUUUUCCUCUCUCAUAAUAAUUACAUGUAGUAUCAUAAACAAAUUUAACAAUAUAACUAUCACAUAAAAUAUUCUCUUCAUGAUCCACAUGCAUGCAAAGUUGACUCUCUUCCAAAAUAGUGGGAUUAUCAUCAAAUAAAGGCAUGACCUCUCUAAGCCCACUUUUAUCAAAAAUUUCAUAAGAUUGAACACUCUCCAAAUAUGUGGGAUUAUUUUUAGCUAAAGUUGACACUCUUCCAAACCCAUUUUUAAUAUUAUCACAAGCAUAUUCAUAUUCAUCAUGAGAUUUAAAUAAAUUUUCAAGAUCAUAAGAAUCAUUAUCACCUCAAUCAUGAUCAUUGCAACAAAUAGUUGACAUAACAAAACAAGCAUCCCCAAGCUUGGGGUUUUGCAUAUAACUAACACAAUUGACAUUAAAAGAAUUACAAUAGCAUCAUUGCAAUCAUGUUUUUCAUUCAAGGAGCUAUCAUGAAUCACUUUAUAAAUUUCUCUGUUUAACACUUCAUCACAACUUUCAGAUUCAUGAAUCUCAAGCAAAACUUCAUAAAAAAUAAUCUAGUGAACUCAAUUCACUAGCAAUUGGUUCAUCAUAAUUAGAUCUUUUGAAAAGAUUAGCAAGUGGGCGAGGAUCCAUAUCAAUAGAUUUUUUAGCAAGCAAAGAUGCAAGCAAAUAGAAGACGCAUGGCAACACAAGCAAACAAGAGAUCUAACGAGAAAAAGGCGAACAAAAAAGAAGGCAAAUAAAAAGGCAAAAAUUUUGUGAAGUGGGCGAGAUGAAAACGGGAGGCAAAUGGAAAAUAAUGUAAAUUGCGAGAUGAGAUUUGUGAUUAGGAACCUGGUAGUGUUGAUGAUGUCUCCCUGGCAACGGCGCCAGAAAUUUGUUUUGAUGCAGCUUGAACUAUGUCGGUAUUUCCCCAAAGAGGAAGGGAUGAUGCAGCACAGCUACGGUAGGUAUUUCUCUCGAUGAUGAGACUAAGGUUAAAAAUGACGUCGCAAAAAGGGGUUAAAAACCGUUUGUAUAGAAGCUCGUUGUACCAGUGUGGGGACAUAAGAGAUUGCUUGUAUUUGAUUGCAGGGUUGUUUGAGAGAGACCAUCUUCAUCCUACAUCUCCCACAGAUUGAUAAGCCUUAGGUCAUCCACUUGAGAGAAAUUUGUUGUUGUCCUACAAAACUCUGCGCUUGGAGGCCCAACGGAGUCGACAAGAAUAAAAGUUGCGUAGUAGACAUCAAUACUUAGUUGUCUCCUUACCACUUCUAGGCAAUUCUCUGUUAGUUCCCUUUACUAUGUUAUACAUAACUAUGAGAUUUUUUUCCUAUAGAUUCUACGGAAAAUAAAAUCCCCUCUGAGAGUCAAAACAUUCAUCUGGUUGGGGUACCUUAAGUAGAGAUGUGCUUAUCAGAAGGGGAGGGGUGUGCCCCUAGCAUUGUUUGUUUUGAGGAGCUGAUGAAGCAAGAGCUCAUCUCCUCUUUGAUUGCCCUCUAGAUAGAUACAUCUAUAAGUGGUGAGUCACGUAAUUGGUUUAACUGCAACUUUACUAAUGUUUUAGAUUGUAUCACUGGUUGAUCGGGGCCUAUGGGGAGAAGAACUAGAGACCUCAUGGUUGUAGUUGUUGGAGUCAUGUGUGGGUAUUUUAAAUACUAGAAACCAAGAGUGCUUUCGAAACCAAUUCCCUAAUGAACCUUGUGAUGUCAUCUAUUGUAUCUUCUACUCGAUUGAUCUAUAGGGCUCUUUGCAGGUGAAGGAGGCCGCAAAGUUGGAAUAGUAGCGUUGCAAAAUAUUGUUGGCUCGAGCCGUGGGUGGGGUGUUCUCGGUGAGAGGAAGAUGGAAGCAUUGGAUCAAGAGGCUGACUAAGAAUCGGAGGAAUUGCUCCUACUUUGCUGAUGCCUUGAUGCUAGGAAAAGGAAACAUGAAAAGAUUAAACCCUAAAGAUGUUGCACUUGUUUUGUUUUCUGUUUUCUAUUUUGCUUGUUUAGAAUGAUUUUUCGAGGGGGUAAAUUUUUAGGUUUUGCUAGUCUUUGAUCGCUCUUUGGCUUUUGCUAAUGUUGGCAUGGGGGUGUUGCCCCCCUGCGGUGUUUCUGGCCUUUGAUGAACGGUUGUGCUCUUUCGUUUGUUGGUUGGGUGUGUUCAUCAGUUGGUUUUUGUUGAAUGAAAUCGGGGGAAACCCAUUUAUCAAUUAUUUUCUUGCAUUUGGUGGAUAAUGAUCCAUUAGUUAAAGUUCUAUCCAUCCAAACUUCUUGAAAAAUUACAGAGGUUCUCCUUACAUAAAAGAUGCCAUGAUAAAUAGUUUAGGACUAGUGAAGGACAUUUGCUUGUGCAUUCUUUUUUGGAUGUCUUUCAUUGCAUUUUAUGAGGUUUUCAAUUCCACUUGUUUUCACUUUUCAACAAAACUAUAUGCAGUGGUCAUGAUACACAAAAUAACUUACUAUUGUUAUUAACCGAAGACGGUUGUGCUACAAUUUCGUUUUGCAAAUCUCAGUCACUUGGAUCAACAUCCUCGUCUUCGCCCCACCACGCAUACAUAUGAACUAAAUGUUCCCAAUUUUUUUAUAAAGUUAACUUCGAUCUUUGACUUGUUAAUGAACAAUUUGAAGUAACGACCGAGUUUCCAUUAAAUCAGGGCAAGCAGGAAAGAGCAAAACUUUUAUAAUUAGCCACUUUGUCCACUGGAUACUGCCUCCGUCCUCUUGUUCGUCAGCAGAGUGGACCUGACUUGAGGCGUACGUAGGUAUGAUAAGGCAAUGUUGGAGCAAGUAAUUUGGAUAUUCCUAUCGUGUCCCGGUCAUUACUUGGUUCCCAAACUUUACAAGAUAACAAAACCAAAGAUUGAUGUCAGCGACCCGUCGGUGGUAGUGCUGAGUUGAUUAAUUUUGUGGCUUGAGUGCAUGGCGAACAAGAUGGAACGAAGAAAAAACAAGUGCAACUAAAAAUCGAUUGACCAUGCACGUGCAUGUUCUGCAUGUGAGAGAAUGCUGAAGCAAAACUGGCUGGCGUGCACUCAUUGAGCAGGGCGGCUCCACUGUUGCAGCGUCAUGGUUCAGGAUAAACAAACUAUAGUCAACUCAUUUUAUAGCUGCUAUAAAUUAUGGUGUGUUUAACUUGUUCCAUACACAAUCUACUAUAUAACGAUAAAUGGACACCAAAUGUAUGUGAUGCCCUCAGAUGUCGGCUCUACGAAAAUACACACAGAAAUAUUGUACAACAAGAGUGCUCUGUUCAUCCGGUGGAUUGUGUGCACAUAUAGGUUUGUGUACGUGUUCGAAAGGAUUUAAGGUUCAUAAUUGUUUACUCACGAUCGCGCGGGAGGGGGCGGUUUCCAAGUGGAUCUAUAGAUAGAUCGAUCUAUCUACUUGGGCAUAUAUAUAUACGAUUGACAGCGGCAUAUAGGUUUGUGCCCUGGCAGUAUGUUGGCACUGCAAGUCUGCAACUUGCAUUGCAGCUUGCAGGUCGUCGUCUCUGCUCAUCAGGAAAACGAUCGAGACGCGAAAAGGUCAGCGGGUCGACCGCCAAACCCUACGAAAAGUAUCCACGGAUUUAGUCCGGUUUGAGAGUUCGUGCACAGUGCACGUGCACCCCGGCAGCAAAAGACCACAUUCCCUGCGUGCCAUCACAAUCACAUUGCCAAUAUAUAUUUUUUGCAUUCCUCAUACUAUCAUUUCGAUAGGGAAAAAUAUAACCAACAAUAUCUUUUCCUCACUACUACACUCGCGCUCCUGAUUUCUAACACCUCUCGCCCGUAAUUCGUAGUUAUAUAGUAUACUACAAGAAAAUUUGAUCACGAUCAACAACACCCCAUUUUCCAACGAAAAUGGUGAAGAAAUGAAACAAAAGCAUCGAUUAGCUGAGCUUAACCCGUCCCUAUCGAUCGACGGUGCACCAGCAAGGUCCCCGCGCGACGACGGCGUGCGGCGGCGGCGGCGGCAGCAAGUCCGAUAGGGAUAUCAAUCGGAGACGACACCGGAGGUCUCCACGCUUGACGUUGACCUCCAGCUGCAGGCUCCACGCGGUGGUAGCCGGCCGCGUCAGCGCCGAAGCCGCAGCAAAGCCACCAGAGUUCCCCUCCGUCGGCGCCGCGCUCCCGCGGCUCGUAACCGUCGUCGGGCCACAGCACGUCCGCCUCCUGGAACUCCUCCGCCAUGUCACCCUCGCGGCCAUGCCCGCCGGCGGAGGCGGGAGGGUAGGAGAGGAAGCCACCGGAGGACCCGCCACCAAACGGCAGCACGGUCGACGACGAGGACGCCGAGCUCAUCGACGAGGACGCCGCAGGGCCGUCGUCGUCGCUGCCGAACGACUCGCACGAGAAGUCGACGGCGGCCGCGGCAGCGGAAUCGUACAGCUGAUCCGGCAGGCGGUCCCGCGACGGCGGCGGCGUGUCGGGCCACAGCACGUCGGCCUCCUGGAGCUCCUCCAUGGGCGCACCUCGGGCCAGGAAACUAUCUCCGAUAGCAGCCAGGCAAGCCAUUCUUGUAAUAUGGGUUGCGCGCGCCUUGCCGCAAGAGAGAAGCGCGUCGCAUCGCCGUGUGUGGUGACGUGACGUAGGGGGCACUCCUGGCCUUGAUUAAAUUUGGCUAGCUGCGCAGCGCUCCGCAAAAUGACAGAUUACGCACACGUACGUGACGCCUCAUGCCGUUCAAUGCGGACUUUAACAAUCGACUCAUACGUGCUGCUCUGUGUUGGCCACGAAAUGCCAGGUCAUAUUCAAAACCAAACUACGCGAUACUUGUGAAAGAAACAAAACUGAUACAUCACACUAUAUGUCAGUGACAGCGAUUUUUGCAGAAAUAUACAUCGUUAUCUGCUUCUAGGACAAGAGAGAGCUUGAUUGCAAUAGAUGGGGAAUACUACUAAAAAAGAUUGGAGAUGGAGUGACGGUUGCAAGCGCACAAGAAAUGGCAGAUCGGGUUAAUCCGGUGGGCGACCAAUCAUUCGCGACCUGGAUGAUGCUUGACCGGGUAACGCGGACAAGGGAUGCGGUUAGGGAGCCCCACACAGCAAGUCAUCCUCCCAGGAUUGGCCACGGCUCACGCCUGAAUGGAGUGUGCAGGCAGUUUUAUUUGCCUAUUUAUAUGCAAUUAGAUUCCGUCAGGGGCUAGCUGCACCUAACCCAUAGUUUAGAUUUCUAGGAGGGGUUAGGGUCAAAUAACUACGCAAAAUGCAGUUUCAAGUUGCCAUACUUACCUGCGUGGCCACAGUGCAAUCGGAUGAUGAACCAAAAUUAGGGUGAGAAACGACAGAAUCCAAAGCCAAUCGAACGAAAAGUCUAAGAGCAUAAGUGCAGAGCUUCCAGAAACCAGCGGUAGACCGUCAAUGCUGGGAUUAGUCCUCACAUCACAUAAUAACAAAUAUCCAUCAAUUCCGCCUAACACAAACUCUCGGGAUCACUCAGUCACAGAGCGUCAGUCUCCUCUCGCAGUAACAGUAAAACCAGGAGCUCAGUCAUACUUUGUACAGGAUUGUACACCACGCCGCGCCGGACCAGCCACGGCGGCUACUCCGGCGCGCGUACAGGGAACACC